rnacentral:lncRNA from 1 species
CUUCACACAACCCAUGUAAUACAUAAGGGAAAAGGAUACAUAGUUGGCUUACAAUCGCCACUUCACACAAUACAUGAAUAGAGCAUUACAUCAUCCAAAUGCAAUCAAGGUCCGAAUACGGAACCAAAAUAAAAGAAGAACCCCAAAUGCGACAAGGUCCCCGAUCAACCCCAACUGGGCUCCACUACUGAUCAACUAGAACGAAACAACACAAAGGACAAGAUCUUCAUCGAGCUCCUCCUGAGCUUGGUUGCGUCAUCUGCACGGAGUCAUCGGCACCUGCAAGCUGGUUUUGGAAGUACCUGUGAGUCACGGGGACUCAGCAAUCUCACACCCUCGCGAUCAAGACUAUUUAAGCUUAUGGGUAAGGUAAAGGUAUGAUGUGGAGCUGCAACAAGCAACUAGCAUAUAUGGUGGCUAACAUACGCAAAAGAGAGCGUGAAGAGAAGGCAAAGCACGGUCGAGAAACUAUGAUCAAGAAGUGAUCCUAGAACAACCUACGUCAAACAUUACUCCAACAUCGUGUUCACUUCCCGGACUCCGCCGGAAAGAGACCAUCACGGUUACACACGCGGUGGAUGUAUUUUAAUUAAGGUCAACUUCAGGUUUUCUACAACCGGACGUUAAUAAAUUCCCAUCUGCCCAUAACCGCGGGCACGGCUUUCAAAAGUUCAAAUCCCCGCAAGGGUGUCCCAACUUAGCCCAUCACAAGCUCUCACGGUCAACGAAGGACAUUCCUUCUAGCGGGAAGACCCGAUCAAACUCGAAAUCCCGGUUACAAGACAUUUCGACCAUGGUAAAACAAGUCCAGCAACACCGCCCGAAUGUGCCGAUAAAUCCCAAUAGGAGAUGCACAUAUCUCGUUCUCAGGGCACACUCAGAUGAGCACUAUGUACAACUAAAACUAGCCCUCGAGUUUCCCCGAGGUGGCGCUGCAAGUGGCUCUGUUUGGACCAACACUCAGAGCAGCACUGGNNNNNNNNNNNNNNNNNNNNNNNNNNNNNNNNNNNNNNNNNNNNNNNNNNNNNNNNNNNNNNNNNNNNNNNNNNNNNNNNNNNNNNNNNNNNNNNNNNNNNNNNNNNNNNNNNNNNNNNNNNNNNGACCCUUGAGUCUGCAGAACCCAAGGGAAAAAAGGCUAGGUGGCGAAUGGUAAAACCAAUGUUGGGCAUUGCUGGAGGAGUUUUAUUCAAGGCGAACUGUCAAGGGGUUCCCAUUAUAACCCAACCGCGUAAGGAACGCAAAAUCCGGGAACAUAACACCGAUAUGACAGAAACUAGGGCGGCAAGAGUGGAACAAAACACUAGGCAUAAGGCCGAGCCUUCCACCCUUUACCAAGUAUAUAGAUGCAUUAAUUAAAUAAGAGAUAUUGUGAUAUCCCAACAAGUAAACAUGUUCCAACAAGGAACAACAUCUCCAUGUUCCAACAAGGAACAAACUUCAUCUUCACCUGCAACUAAUAACGCUAUAAGAGGGGCUGAGCAAAGCGGUAGCAUAGCCAAACAACGGUUUGCUAGGACAAGGUGGGUUAGAGGCUUGCUUCAACAAUAUGGGAGGCAUGAUAAGCAAGUGGUAGGUAUCGCAGCAUAGGCGUAGCAAAAGAGCGAGCAACUAGCAAGCAAAGAUAGAAGUGAUUUCGAGGAUAUGGUCAUCUUGCCUGAAAUCCCGCAAGGAAGAAGAACGAGUCCAUGAAGAAGACAAACGGACGUAGUCGAACGGAUCCUCACAAUGCAACGUUAUCGGAACCAACCCGAAGAAGCAACACCGGAAAAGAGCAAACAACAUAGUAAACAACCACCACAUAGACAUGGCAUGAUGCGCAAACAAGUAUGAUGCAUGUCCGGUUUAAAGAGGGCAUGGCAUGGCAAAAUGCACAAGCAACCCUACAAAUUAAGUGGAGCUCAAUAUGCAACUCCGUUGCAUAUUGACGAAACACCACGUGACUUAUUUAGUUCAAUCUCGUUUAUGUACCCAACAAGAUUAAAUGUUGAUUAACAUGGCAAGAGGUGAAGCUAAGUAAAACCACCUAUCUAGUCAAGUUUAAAUGAGGCCGGAAGCAACGAACAACAAUUCUGGAAAAACCCCAUAUGCAUAUAUUAGGUUUGUUACGGUUCUGCCCUAUACACAAUUUUAGAGUUGUUAAAGAUGCAAAGUGAGGCCACCAAGUUAAACUAGGCAUUUUUCCACCCCAUUUACAUAUAAAGUUUGUUAGGUUUGGAGCUACGGUUAUUUAGUUAUGAAAUAAAUCAUUUUAGCAAGUUAAUUAAGCAAGUUUAAACAAACAGCAUCUUAAGCAUUUUAAACAUAGAUGAAAGUUGGGUAUUAUUAAACUAGAUGAAAUUCUAAACAAGUUUCAUAUAUAAAGUUUUUCCAUGUGAUGCAUAGUUUGUGAGUUAUUAAAUGUAUGAACAUGAAGGUCUUUUCUGCAAAAGUGCUCUCUCUGGGAUAAAGGCAAAAUCGCAGACCUGAAAAAAAACAGGAACUGGGCCGAAUCUGGCCGGCCCAACAAGAGAAAAAAAAACAAGAGGAGGGGGCACUUGGGGGCUGCUCACCCUGGGCCUGGCCCAACUGGAGGAGGAGGCCGGGCAGCUGGGCCUCGCGCAGCGGUCAACUGGAGAAGGAGGACUCGGCGCUUGUCAUCGUCCUCGCAUGCUCGCAUCUAGAAACAGGGGAAGCAGCGACCGAUGCGGAGGAGGCAGCAGCAGGACGAACUCCGGCGGCGCUCGGAACCAGCAGGAGACGGCGAAGGCAAGGGGAAUCCGACCGGAUCCAAGGCGGAGCGACUGGAUCAGGCAAGGGUGGACUUGGAGCUCCAGGCAUCGGCGUUCUUCGCGGCUUGGUGCAGUUCGGCGCAGAGGAGCGGCGAUGCUGAUAGCCUACUCCAGCGAGAGGACGGCGAGGGAGCCUGGCGGGCGUUGGAAAGCUGCAGAAGGACCGGGCUUGGAGCAGAUCGGGCGCAGGGAUCCAGGACCCGUGAGGGGGACAGGGGCGGCCAACGUUCCUGGGGCUUGGCCGGCUCGUUGAAGACGAGCAGCAGCGGGUCGACGCAGGCGGCGGCUCGCUGCAACGUAGAGACGAGUCGGGGACGGACUUGGUGCGGCGGAGCUCGGGGCCAUGGCGAGCGGAGCACCUCCGAAGGGGAAGAGAGAGGUCAGGGACGGGCGAGAGGAGAUGAAGCACGGGAAGGAGAGGGGCGGCACUGUUCCUGGUGGAUGAGAGAGGAGGCAGGGGCUUCAGGAGAGCGAGGAGGAUCUCCACUCCUCUGGAUCGAAGAGGGGGGAGGAAGCUCUCGAUCGAGGCGGCGGGGUUUUCUGGCAGCUUCGAACCGAAGAGCUCGGGCUCGAGCAGUGGUUGGUGGGAGGAGGAAUGGGGGAAUCCCGAUGUGGAUUCGGUGGAGUGGCGGCGGCGAUGGGACAAACCCCCUAGAUUUUAGGGUUGCUGCCUAGGUCUAUAUAAAGCACUGGAUUUUUUGUUAGGGGCUAUCUGGAGCCUUCGAUCAAAAUCGGACGGUUUAGAAAGAAUAGGUUAGGGAGUCCAAAUAAUAAAACAGUGAUAUUUCGUAGAUGUUUGGGGAUGUUUCGGACACAGCGGUAGCGACAGCCCGAGUCGGGUCCGGGACAGCUUUCGGGCGCGCGCGCGAGGAGGGCCGCGGGCUGACGAGAGAGGUUAGGCUAGGCCUGGCGGUAUGUAGACUGUAUAGACGGUUUCGAGCUGAGAGAAGAGAAGAGAGAGAGCCCCAGCGACUGUUUCCGGAGACCGGAAACGUCCGACGUUAGACCGGCUAUAAUACCGCUAUAGUUUAACGGUUGGGCUAUCAAACGAACUCCGAAUGCGAUGAAACUUGACAGGCGGUCUAUCUACACUAUAAUAAGACCGCACGCCAACUUUCAACCCAUUCCGAGAACAUUUUCUGGCCACUUAUAAAAUAAUAUUUCGGACAUGCCGCGGGCGCGUGCAAGUGUGUCUGGGCUCAGAACGGACAACGGAGAGAACGAGGAGGCCGGGACGGAUGCAAGUUUCGAAAACAUGAUGAUGCAAUGCACAUGAUGACAUGAUAAGAUGCAACACGCAAGCAAAUGACUUGACAACGACAUCGAAUAACUGGAGGACACCUGGCUCAACGGUCUCGGGGCGUCACAACAUUCCACCAUUACGAGAGGAUCUCGUCCCGAGAUCUAGGAUGGCACCGGAGGGAAAACGAAAGAGAAAGAGAAGGGGUAAAACUAAGUUGCUUCUUUGGCCAAUGAGUGAAACCAAAGAACCUUGCAAAGGUUAAGCCAUUUCGAGAAAAGAAUACAACGGAGAUGACGAAGCUGAAAACACUCCGUUAGAAAAGAGGAACAAGGGAGAACAACUUCGGGCAGCACUCUGAUUGACAAGAAAAGGAAUUAAAUAAGAACUUGAUAAGAUGAGAAGAUACUUGAUGAAAUCACAAUACACGGCCUCCGUAACUAUUGAAUGAAUGGAACAAGGGGUGAGAAAGAUCUCAGACAACACUCCGGUUUAAAAGAGAUGAAAACUUGAUAAAAUGAAAGAGCUUAAGCAAAGGGACACAAUACUCCGGUUAAAAGGAUAAGCACGAUCAAAACAUGGUCCUGACAAUCCGAGUAGAUGGGUUGAGGAGAGCAACAUCACAAUGCCUCCAGAAUGGAAGAAUAGAAGAUAGUUAAUUGCCAUAGGAGAAUGGAGAAGAAAAUGCCAACUUCUGCUAAAAAUGAGCUUGGAGAGCACCCUUCGAGGAAGGUUAAAACGGAGUUGUUGGAAAACCAACAACGAAAAAGGGUAAGCUUGAUAUAGUCUUCUGGAAAACAACUCAAAACUAUGAGCUGAAAUUUCUGCCACUAACGGAAAUGAUAGAUUGGAUUGAUAUCAACAAGGAGACGAGAAACUAAUUUCACCGGGAGGAUAAAUGAAGAACUUGGGUCAUUUAUGAGCACCAUAAAUAGCAAUGAUCCUUAGGGAAGGCUUUAGGUGAACAAUUACCCUAGAUAACUCCAAUGACGAGAUUGAUAGAUUUAAAAUACCUCAUUCUUAACAACAUGUGAGUCAUGAAACAUGAACUCAAAUUAUCAAGAAUGACAUAAUACCACCUUCAAAUUAUACGGUAGAAGGAAUUGCACUCUGAAUAACAAGAUGAAGAAUGCUUGAGCUCCUCUGAAAAGAAUGUUGAUGAACCCUUCGAGAAGGAAUUAAGUCUUUGAUGAGCCAUCAAGAAUAAACUCUCAAAGAACUCCGAUAACGAAAGGAUGAUCAAACGAAAGGAAAAGAUAAGUAGAGAACACAAGGUGAAGCCUUGCGAUGAUUGGAUGAAGCUCUGCGACGAGAUAAGUAGAAAACUUGGAACUCCGGAAAAGAAAAGAUGAAUCAAGUGAAACCGAGAAUUUGAAGAACCUCCGGAAUAGGGAAUUAAUCACUUGGAUGAACAAGAAUAAGAAUUAUGUUAUGCUUGUCCUUCACCAAUUAAAUUGAUGAUAUACAAUGGAUUUGGCACACUACUUGGAUUUGGCACACUACUUAUUCUCGUAGAAAGGAUUAAGAUAGAUAUAGCACAAACUUGGGAAGAUCUUCAACGAACCACCGUAAGAAUUGAAACAACGAAUAAAUUGAUAUGAUAAAUGAAGGAAGAAGAAUCUUGAACGAGACACCGUAAGAAUUGAAAAAGAAUGAAUAAAAGAUAACGAAUCACCGGGACGAAUUUGCAAAUGAACGAAGAUGCUCGAGAGAAACUAGAUACAUGAGAACGAAGGGAUCACGACCUGAUUAGAGAUGUGACGCCUCGAGACUGUUGCGCCAGGUGUCGUCCAGUUAUUCGCUAUUGUUGCCUUGUCAUUUGUUUGCGUGUUGCAUCUUAUCAUGUCAUCAUGUGCAUUGCAUCAUCAUGUUUUAAAACUUGCAUUCGUCCGAGUUCUUCGAGUUCUCUCCGUUGUCCGUUCUGAGCCCAACCACACUUGCACGCGCCCGUGGCAUGUCCGAGAUAUUAUUUUAUAAGUGGCCGAAAAAUGUUCUCUGAAUGGGUUGAAAGUUGGCAUGCGGUGUUGUUAUGUUGUAGGUAGGCCGCCUGCCAAGUUUCAUCGCAUUCGGAGUUUGUUUGAUGCCCCAACGGAUAACUAUAGCGACUUUAUAGUCGGUCUAAUGUCGGACGUUUUCGGUCUCCGGAAACAGAUGCCGGGCCCUCUCUCUCUCUUCUCCCCCUCGCAGUCUCGCCACAGCCCACCUAGUCCAUCCUCCUUCCCCUCUUCGCUUCCGGAGUUGUCCGAUGCGACCGCACGGUCCGAAACCCUCUCUGCUCAGUGCAUCAAACCCCCUCGCGCGCGCGUCCAAAAAGUUGUCCCGGACCCGACCCGGACUGUCGCCACCGUUGUGUCCGGAUCAUCCCCAAACAUCUACAAAACGUCAUCAUUUUCUUAUUUGGGCUCCCUAGCCUAUUUUUCCCGACCGUCCAGUUACGAUCGGAGGGACGGAUUAGCCCUACCCAAAAAUCCUUUUGCUAUAUAUAUGUCAGACCAAACCCUAAAACUAGGUCAUUUGCCCCCCUCAGCCGUCGCCAAACUCCACCAAAUCCCCAUCGGGAUCUUCCCCAAUCCAGUUCCUCCUCGUUUUCCUCUCCUGCCAGAUCCAACCAGCGGCCCCGACCAACUCCCUUGAUUUCCGCUGUCGCCCAACCACAGCAAAGCUGCACCUCCUUCCCUACCCUCCUAUCUCUUCAUCGUCUCUUUCGAUCUCUCUCGCUCUCUCUCAAAUUCUCUCUCUCUCUUGCUAGGUACAUGAGCAACAGAAGGUCGCCCCUGCUGCCAUGGCCACCGUUUCCGUCGCUGUCUCAGGACCCGCCAUGGAGGACCCCGUCGCCCGCCAAGUACCUCGCCGGAGUACCCAACCAGGCCAUGACCUCGACGCCCUCCUCCCUCUGUUGUCUCUCCUAACCACUCAAACCCCCUCCCGUUUCUCUCUGUCAGGGGACCGAAGACAUGGCCGCGCCUCUCUUUGAACUCAACUGCCAUGGCCGUCCCGACCCCCUACUGCCUCGAGCGCCCCCGCAGGACCUCGCCGGACCACCAAGCGGCAACCUCCUGAGGUUCCCCGUACCCCAUGCCUUCCAUUUCUUCUCCUUCCUCCUGCAGUUCUUCCUCACAGUCUCUCUCUCUGAACCCUCUCUUGUUUAUUCAGCAGCAGCUCAUGUGGCAGCUACAGUUUGCUCGACCCCCCUGCCUCGAGCGUGUUGACCGCGCCCCUCCUCGUCGCCAUGGAUCCGCGCCAAUCUCCGCCUCCCCGCGCUCCGUUCCGCCCAUUUCGGCCGGUUCUCGCCGACCCCGUCGCCAAGACCCCUGCCGCCGUAUUCUACACCGCCUGAUGUUGCUUCUGUUCUUCAGAAACGAGGACGAACAUGCGCCUCGCCUGCACCCAUUGAUCGCGCCACCCCAUCUCCUCGUUCGGUCCAGCCUGCCAGCGCGCCUCUAGUUCAGGCCAAGGCCCAACACCUCUUCGCCCCAGCCAUAAACAGGCCUCAAGGCCCAAUGUGAGCAGCACCCUGGCCUUCCCCCUGUUGGGCUGCCCAGAUUCGGCCUGUUUCUUUUUUUCCCUGCUGACGAAUUUCCUAAUUUCCAAUGCAUGCAUAAGUACAUGAGGAUGCCAUUAUUUUGUUAAUAACCGUGCAUCGGAUUAAAACAAAGUUAAUAUGAAACUUGCUUAGAUUUUCAUCUAGUUUAAUAAUAUGCAACUUUCAUCUAUGUUUAAAAUGUUUAAAAUGUUGUUUGUUUAAAUUUGCUCCUAUGCCAUGCUAAAAUGGUUUAUUUGAUAACUAAAUAACCGUAACUCAGAAUUUAAUAAACUUUAUAUGUAAAUGGGGUAGAAAAUGCCUAGUUUAACAUGGUGGCUUUACUUUGCAUAUUUAAUAACUCUAAAAUUAUGUUUAGGGCAGAUCAGUACCAAACCUUAAAAUAUGCACAUGAGGAGUUUCCGGACUUGUUGUUUGUUGUUCCGGCCUCAUUUAAACUUGCCUAGAUAGGUAGUUUUGUUUUGCUUCACCUCUUGCCAUGCUAACAACAUUUAAUAUUGUUGGGUACAUAAAAGAGAUCGAACUAAAUAACUUGAAUGUGGUGUUUCGUCAAUAUGCAACGGAGUUGCAUAUUGAGCUCCACUUAAUUUGUAGGGUUGUUUGCGCACUUUGCCAUGCCAUGCUUCUUUAAACCGGACAUGCAUCAUACUCGGUUGUGCAUCUUGCCAUGCUUAUGUGGUGGUUGUUUACUAUGUUGUUUGCUUUCUUUCCGGUGUUGCUUCUUCGGGUUGGUUCCGAUAACGUCGCGUUUGUGAGGAUUCGUUCGUCUACGUCCGUUUGUCUUCUUCAUGGACUCGUUCUUCUUCCUUGCGGGAUUUCAGGCAAGAUGACCAUACCCUCGAAAUCACUUCUAUCUUUGCUUGCUAGUUGCUCGCUCUUUUGCUAUGCCUAUGCUGCGAUACCUACCACUUGCUUAUCAUGCCUCCUAUAUUGUUGAACCAAGCCUCUAACCCACCUUGUCCUAGCAAACCGUUGAUUGGCUAUGUUACCGCUUUGCUCAGCCCCUCUUAUAGCGUUGUUAGUUGCAGGUGAAGAUUGAAGUUUGUUCCUUGUUGGAACCUGGAGAUGUUGUUCCUUGUUGGAACAUGUUUACUUGUUGGGAUAUCACAAUAUCUCUUAUUUAAUUAAUGCAUAUUUAUACUUGGUAAAGGGUGGAAGGCUCGGCCUUAUGCCUGGUGUUUUGUUCCACUCUUGCCGCCCUAGUUUCCGUCAUAUCGGUGUUAUGUUCCCGGAUUUUGCGUUCCUUAUGCGGUUGGGUUAUAAUGGGAACCCCUUGACGGUUCGCCUUGAAUAAAACUCUUCUAGCAAUGCCCAACAUGGGUUUUACCAUUCGCCACCUAGCCUUUUCUUUUCCUUGGGUUCUGCAGACUCAAGGGUCAUCUUUAUUUUAACCCCCCCCCCCGGCCAGUGCUCCUCUGAGUGUUGGUCCAAACAGAGCCACUUGCAGCGCCACCUCAGGGAAACUCGAGGGCUGGUUUUAGUUAUACGUAGUGCUCAUCUGAGUGUGCCCUGAGAACGAGAUAUGUGCAGCUCCUAUCGGGAUUUGUCGGCACAUUCGGGCGGUGUUGCUGGUCUUGUUUUACCAUUGUCAAAAUGUCUUGUAACCGGGAUUCCGAGUCUGAUCAGGUCUUCCCGCUAGAAGGAAUAUCCUUUGUUGACCGUGAAAGCUUGUGAUGGGCUAAGUUGGGACACCCCUGCAGGGAUUUGAACUUUCGAAAGCCAUGCCCGCGGUUAUGGGCAGAUGAGAAUUUGUUAAUGUCCGGUUGUAGAAAACCUGAAGUUGACCUUAAUUAAAAUACAUCAACCGCGUGUGUAACCGUGAUGGUCUCUUUCUGGCGGAGUCCGGGAAGUGAACACGGUGUUGGAGUUAUGCUUGACGUAGGUUGUUCUAGGAUCACUUCUUGAUCAUAGUUGUUCGAUCGUGCUUUUGCCUUCUCUUCUCGCUCUCAUUUGCGUAUAUGUUAGCCACCAAAUAUGCUAGUCGCUUGCUGCAGCUCCACCUCAUACCUUUUACCUUACCCAUAAGCUUAAAUAGUCUUGAUCGCGAGGGUGUGAGAUUGCUGAGUCCCCGUGACUCACAAAUACUUCCAAAACCAUCUUGCAGGUGCCGAUGAUACCUUGCAGAUGACAGAACCGAGCUCAAGGAGGAGCUCGAUGGAGAUUCGUGUUCGUUUUGUUGUUCCGUUUCCAGUUGAUCAGUAGCGGAGCCCAGUUGGGGUCGAUCGGGGAUCUGUGUAGCAUUUGGGUAGUCUUCUUUUAUUUUGGGUUCCGUAGUCGGACCUUGAUUGUAUCUGGUUGAUGUAAUGCUUUAUUCAUAUAAUUGUGUGAAGUGGCGAUUGUAAUUCAACUAUGUAUCUUUUUCCCUUAUGUAUUACAUGGGUUGUGUGAAGAUUACCUCACUUGCGACAUUGCUUUCAAUGCGGUUAUGCCUCUAAGUCGUGCUUCGACCCAUAGGAGAUAUAGCCGCAUCGAGGGUGUGACAAGUUGGUAAUCAGAGCCUUCCCCGACCUAAGGAGCCCCCUGCUUGAUCGAAUCGAUGGCGUUAUUGAGUCUAGAAAAAUGUUUUGAGUCAUUUAGGAUUAUAUAUAUCGGAGAGUUAGGAAUUCUUUUUACUCCUCAGUCCCUUCGUCGCUCUGGUGAGGCAUCCUGACGUAGAGUUUUGACUCUUCUCUUCUCAAAUUUCACUAAAUUUUUUUAGGAUCACACGGGUAUAUUGGAAUUGUUCCGAUGGUUUUGUGACGAGAACAUUGUUCUUGGUGCCUCCUACCAUUUAAGGGUUGUGACAGUGUCCCGGGGAGUUGAGCUCCGAGGUGUUGUCGUCACAAUCUUAUCGUUGCAGUUUUGGAAUACCUGAGUUUAGUUUCGCCGACAUCGAAAAUAUCUUUUAUGCAGUUGUUGGUGAGAUAACCUCGACGCCACCCUGUACUGGGGUGGGAGUUCGGGAGUAUUGCCAUAACUCGUAUAACGGAUGCUUUUCGAAGGUUGAGGUAAAUGAUUUCCGAAGGUUUCUUGGUUAUGUGUUGAAGGAUGGAUACAGCUGGAUGUAGGAUUUGUUAGUUUUGGGUGAGAUAUUAUGCUUCCCCUGCAUCCCCAACACCUGAUUGCAUAACUGGGAAAAUUUCGGGAGUUUAUAAGUGGGAAUUCAAGUAGCUCUUAGGAUAUCUUUCCGACAGAUGUAUGAUAUGAAAUUGGGGUUCAACGUCUAGUGGUCCGCCUAUCCACGGUUGGUUUUACAGUGGUCUCAUUGUGUCUUAAAGAGUCCUUGGCUAUGCCGACUCGGGGACGCUUUGUAUGUCAUGUGCACUGCCUUGUACAUGAUGGUGCUGUACGAUCGAGCCCAUGUAGGCCCCACCAUGAAAACUUUGGACGAAAUCUCUAUCAUAUGUUUGUUCCGGCUUAUUUUGCAAGCCAAUCCUUUGUUUUGUUUUGAGUUGUGGUAUCUGAGUUGCUUCGAAGUCAAAUGUUGAUUCCAUACCUGUACCUAAGCGGUGUUCUCAUACUCCAAUGUAAAUACCAAUCCUUCUUGAUUAUCGAGAUUGUCAUGUCAAUCCUUUUCAACCGGCGUAUUUCUCUCCAAGUGGAUCCGAUCAACAUCUGCAAGAUCAACUCAAGUUUUCUCAAUGUUGUUUGUUUCAUCCAUCUCCAAGUUGUCUUUGUUUUUCCCGCCCUCCCUCCCUUGUUUUUUUUUCUCCGAAGACUCAUAUAUCUCAAUCAAGUAUCCUUUUAUUCUUGUGAAGUCUCUCCAUUCUUUUCCGUCAAUAUUCUUACCCGGUGGUUCUCGUGAAGAUGCUCUACAAGUUCAUCAUUAUUCGUUCUUUUCUUCUCCGGUGGAUUCAAUUCAAGCUUUCAGUGCUGAUCAUAUCUUUUUCCUCGUUUCAAAUACCCUCUCAUGCCGGUUCUCCUCAUAUUCAUAGACUUCUCGCUAUUCUAUUAUUCUGGAGUGCUGAAGAUAUCUCCAAGAUUCGUGUUUCCACUCUACUUUCAUUCAAACUCUUACGAGGAUGUUAUCUCUUUCAAGUCAUUUAAUUCAACCGGUGCAAUCCUCUCUUUUAAAUCAUUUCAAUGGUGUUUCUUUUGAGUGGGCCCAUAACCCACAUGUCUUUUCCUAGGAUCUUACCUGACUCUUCUUAUUCUCCCGGAGUUAGUCUCAAAUUCAUUUCAAAGUUUGACGUAAGAAUGAAUUGUCAUCAGUCAAAUGCCUUUCUCCAAGAUCUUUCAUUUCUUUUCAUCUUUGGCUCAACCUCUCCUCUUUUAAUCAUUCCGGAGUGUCUCAACGAUUCAUGGUGGUGUUUCUCGUCGUCAUUCUCAGAUUUUGAAGACCGAAAAAGAGUUUCUCUUAAAUCUUGAUCCAUUCUCUUCAACAUCCGUGAUUCUAGCUUGUUGCCAUCCUCUCAUAAUUAUUUGCGAUUGUGGGAAUUCUUUUCACCUAUCUGGAGCAAUUCAAGAGUCUUCUCAGUUUGAUUAUCCGGAGUCCAUCAUUUUAGGUUUUUUUUCAUUCUCAGCUUUCAGCUCUCUUUCUCUAAAUUUUACCGGUGCAUCGAUCAAAUAUCCUCUAAUCAGUGCAUGAUCUCUUCGUUCUCUCAUAUAUAAUUUAUCUCAAGCAUCUUCAUUCAUUGGCUAAUUUUUCCCAGUGUUUCUUUAUCUUCUCUUCAUUCAUUUUCAAUUCUUACUGUGGUUCGUUCAAUAGUUCUCGUCAUUCGUUAUCAUAUCAAUUUAUUCGUUGUUUCUAUCCUACCGGUGGUUCGUUGAAGAUUUUCUCGAGUUUAUGCGAUAUCUCUCUUAAUCCUUUCUACGAGAAUAAGUAAUAUGCCAAAUCCGUUGCUUGCCAUCAAUUAAAUUGGUGAAGGUUAAGCAUAAUGUAAUUCUUAUUCUUGUUCCAUCCAUAUGUUAAUCUUUUCUUCCGGAGUUUGCUCAUGACGAAUAGAUUCUUGAUCUCUUUGGUUAAUCUUUCUUUUACGGAUCUCCAAGUUAUUUCAAUUAUAUCAUUUCAAAGCUCCAUCUAAUCAUUGCAAGGUUUAAAUCUUGUUCUUUUCAUCCUUCACUUCCUUUUGAUCAUCCUUUUAUUACCGGAGUUCUCACGAAGGUUCUACAUGAUGGUUCAUCAAGGAUUUAAUUCCUUCUCGAAGUGUUCAUCAAGAUUCUUUUCAGAGGAGCUCAAGCAUUCUUCUUCUUGCUAUCCGGAGUGCAAUUCUUUCUUCCGUAUCAUUGGAGGUGGUAUUAUGUCAUUCUUGAUAAUUGGAGUUCAUGUUUCAUGAUUCACAGGUUGUUAAGAAUGGAGUAUUUUAAAUCCAUCAAUCUCGUCAUUUGAGUUAUCUUGGGUAAUAUUUCACCUAAAGCCUUCCCUAACUAUUGUUGCUAUUAUGGUGCUUAUAAAUGACUCAAGUUCUUUUAUCCGCCUGGUGAAAUAAGUUCUCGUCUCCUUGUUGAUAUCAAUCCAAUCUAUCGUUUCCGUCAGUGGCAGAAUUUCAACUCAGCUUUGAGAGGUUUUCCAUAAGCCCACAACAAGCUCACUCUUUUCGUUGUUGGGUUUUCCAACAACUCUGUUCGACCAUUCUCCUAAGGAUGCCUUUUCAAGCUCUUUUGUGGCAUAAGAUGGCAUUUUCGUCUCCAUUCUUUUAUUUCAAUUAUCUAUCUUCUAUUCUUUUGUUACGGAGCCUUUGUGAUGUUUCUCUUUUCUCUCAUCAUCUUGGAUCGUGUUCUUUUCGUGUUUAUCCAUUUAACCAUAGUGUUGUGUCCUUUUGCUCAAGCUCUUUCAUUUUAUCAACUAUUUUAUCUCUCUUCAAUCGGAGUGCUGCCCGAAGUUGUUCUUCCUUGUCCCUCUUUUCUAACGGAGUGCUUUCAACUUCGUUCUUUUCCGUUGUAUUCUUUCUUUCAUGAAUUUGUUCAACCUCUCAAGGUGCGUGGUUUCACUCGUUUGUCCAAGAAGCUACUUAGUUUUACCGCUGCUCUUCCUCUUCCUUUUCCCUCCAGUGUCAUCCUAGAUCUCGGGACGAGAUCCUCUCGUAGUGGUGGAGUGUUGUGACGCCCCGAGACUGUUGCGCCAGGUGUCGUCCAGUUAUUCGCUAUUGUUGCCUUGUCAUUUGUUUGCGUGUUGCAUCUUAUCAUGUCAUCAUGUGCAUUGCAUCAUCAUGUUUUAAAACUUGCAUUCGUCCGGGUUCUUCGAGUUCUCUCUGUUGUCCGUUCUGAGCCCAACCACACUUGCACGCGCCUGCGGCAUGUCCGAGAUAUUAUUUUAUAAGUGCCCGAAAAAUGUUCUCUGAAUCGGUUGAAAGUUGGCAUGUAGUGUUGUCAUGUUGUAGGUAGGCCGCCUGCCAAGUUUCAUCGCAUUCGGAGUUUGUUUGAUGCCCCAACGGAUAACUCUAGCGACUUUAUAGUCGGUCUAACGUCGGACGUUUUUGGUCUCCGGAAACAGAUGUCGGGCCCUCUCUCUCUUCUCCCCCUCGCAGUCUCGCCACAACCCACCUAGUCCAUCCUCCUUCCCCUCUUCGCUUCUGGAGUUGUCCGAUGCGACCGCACGGUCCGAAACCCUCUUUGCUCAGUGCAUCAAAGCCCCUCGCGCGCGCGUCCGAAAAGUUGUCCCGGCCUCAUUUAAACUUGCCUAGAUAGGUAGUUUUGUUUUGCUUCACCUCUUGCCAUGCUAACAACAUUUAAUAUUGUUGGGUACAUAAACGAGAUCGAACUAAAUAACUUGAAUGUGGUGUUUCGUCAAUAUGCAACGGAGUUGCAUAUUGAGCUCCACUUAAUUUGUAGGGUUGUUUGCGCACUUUGCCAUGCCAUGCUUCUUUAAACAGGACAUGCAUCAUACUCGGUUGUGCAUCUUGCCAUGCUUAUGUGGUGGUUGUUUACUAUGUUGUUUGCUUUCUUUCCGGUGUUGCUUCUUCGGGUUGGUUCCGAUAACGUCGCGUUUGUGAGGAUUCGUUCGUCUACGUCCGUUUGUCUUUUUCAUGGACUCGUUCUUCUUCCUUGCGGGAUUUCAGGCAAGAUGACCAUACCCUCGAAAUCGCUUCUAUCUUUGCUUGCUAGUUGCUCGCUCUUUUGCUAUGCCUAUGCUGCGAUACCUACCACUUGCUUAUCAUGCCUCCUAUAUUGUUGAACCAAGCCUCUAACCCACCUUGUCCUAGCAAACCGUUGAUUGGCUAUGUUACCGCUUUGCUCAGCCCCUCUUAUAGCGUUGUUAGUUGCAGGUGAAGAUUGAAGUUUGUUCCUUGUUGGAACCUGGAGAUGUUGUUCCUUGUUGGAACAUGUUUACUUGUUGGGAUAUCACAAUAUCUCUUAUUUAAUUAAUGCAUAUAUAUACUUGGUAAAGGAUGGAAGGCUCGGCCUUAUGCCUGGUUUUUUGUUCCACUCUUGCCGCCCUAGUUUUGCGUCAUAUCGGUGUUAUGUUCCCGGAUUUUGCGUUCCUUACGCGGUUGGCUUAUAAUGGGAACCCCUUGGCAGUUCGCCUUGAAUAAAACUCCUCCAGCAAUGCCCAACAUUGGUUUUACCAUUCGCCACCUAGCCUUUUCUUUCCCUUGGGAUCUACAGACUCAAGGGUCAUCUUUAUUUAAACCCCCCUGGGCCAGUGCUCCUCUGAGUGUUGGUCCAAAUAGAGCCACUUGCAGCGCCACCUCGGGGAAACUCGAGGGCUAGUUUUAGUUGUACGUAGUGCUCAUCUGAGUGUGCCCUGAGAACGAGAUAUGUGCAGAUCCUAUCGGGAUUUGUCGGCACAUUCGAGCGAUGUUGCUGGUCUUGUUUUACCAUUGUCGAAAUGUCUUGUAACCGGGAUUCCGAGUCUGAUCGGGUCUUCCCGCUAGAAGGAAUAUCCUUCGUUAACCGUGAGAGCUUGUGAUGGGCUAAGUUGGGACACCCCUGCAGGGAUUUGAACUUUCGAAAGCCGUGCCCGCGGUUAUGGGUAGAUGGGAAUUUGUUAAUGUCCGGUUGUAGAAAACCUGAAGUUGACUUUAAUUAAAAUACAUCAACCGCGUGUGUAAUCGUGAUGGUCUCUUUCCGGCGGAGUCCAGGAAGUGAACACGGUGUUGGAGUUAUGCUUGACGUAGGUUGUUCUAGGAUCACUUCUUGAUCAUAGUUGUUCGACCGUGCUUUUGCCUUCUCUACUCGCUCUCAUUUGCGUAUAUGUUAGCCACCAAAUAUGCUAGUCGUUUGCUGCAGCUCCACCUCAUACCUUUUACCUUACCCAUAAGCUUAAAUAGUCUUGAUCGCGAGGGUGUGAGAUUGCUGAGUCCCCGUGACUCACAGAUACUUCCAAAACCAGCUUGCAGGUGCCGAUGAAACCAUGCAGAUGACAAAACCGAGCUCAAGGAGGAGCUCGAUGGAGAUCGUGUGCAUUAUGUUGUUCCGUUUCCACUUGAUCAGUAGCGGAGCCCAGUUGGCGUCGAUCGGGGAUCUGUGUAGCAUUUGGGGUAGUCUUCUUUUAUUUUGGGUUCCGUAGUCGGACCUUGAUUGUAUCUGGUUGAUGUCAUGCUUUAUUCAUAUAAUUGUGUGAAGUGGCGAUUGUAAGCCAAUUAUGUAUCUUUUUCCCUUAUGUAUUACAUGGGUUGUGUGAAGAUUACCUCACUUGUGACAUUGCUUUCAAUGCGGUUAUGCCUCUAAGUCGUGCUUCGACCCGUAGGAGAUAUAGCCGCAUCGAGGGCGUUACAAGAGAUCACUUGAACGGAGCACCGAUUAGAUUUGGAGAACCAUAGCUGAAAGCUGAGAAUGAAUAAAUUCUGAGAUGAUGGGUUCCGAAGAAACAAACUGAAAAGAAUCUUGAAUUGCUCCGGAUAGGUGAAAAAAUUCUCACAAUUCAAAAACAACUAUGAGAGGAUGGCAACAAGCUAGAAUCACGAAUCUUGAAGAGAAUGGAGCAAGAUUUAAGAGAAACUCUUCUUCGGUCUUCAAAAUCUGAGAAUGACGACGAGAAACACCAGCAUGAAUAGUUGAGACACUCCAAAAUGAUUAAAAGAGGAGAGGUUGAGCCAAAGAUGAAAAGAAUUUGAAAGAUCUUGGAGAAAAACAUAUGACAGAUGAUGAAUCAUUCUUACGUCAAACUUUAAAAGAAUUUGAGGAUAGCUCCGGGAAAAUAAGAAGAGUCAGGUAAGAUCUUAGGAAAAGACCUGUGGGUUAGGGCCCACUCAAAAGAUACACCGUUGAACGAUUACUUGAAAAGAGAGAUUGCACCAGUUGAAUUAAAAGGCUUAAAUGAUAUAACAUCCUCAAAAGAGUUUGAACGAAAGCAGAGUGGUAACAUGAAUCUUCGAAAUAUCUUGAGCACUCCGGAACAAUUGAAUAGCGAGAAGUGAAUGAUUAAGAAUUGCACCGGCAUGAGAAAGCAUUGAAAUGAGGAAAGGGUAUGAUCAACAAAGCUUGACUUGAAACCACCAGAGAAGAAAAGAAUGAAGAAUUACGAACGAGUAGAGCAUCUUCAUGAGAAACACCGGGUAAAAACAUGAAGGAAAAAGAAUGGAGAGACUUCCAUCAAUAAAAUGGAUAGUGAUUAAGAAAUCUGAAUCCUUGAAGAAAAAGGGUGGGUGGGUGGGAAAACAAAGACAACUUGGAACAAAUGAAGCAAACACCGUUGAGAAAGCUGAGAUUGAAUCUUGCGGAUGUUGAAAAUGGACGGAUCCGCUUGAACAGAAGCACACCGGUGAAAAGGAUUGGCAAGACAAUCUCGAUGAUCAAGAAGGAUUACUAUUCACAUAGGAAUAUGAGAACACCACUUAGACAAGGGAUGGAAUCAACAUUUGCCUUCGAAGCAACUCGAAUACCACAACUCAAAACAAAACAAAGGAUUGGCUUGCAGAAUAAGCCGAAACAAACAUAUGAUAGAGAUUUCGUCCAAAGUUUUCGUGGUGGGGCCUACACGGGCUCGAUCAUACAAUACCAUCAUGUACAAGGCAGUGCACAUGACAUAUGAAGCGUCCCCGAGUCGGCAUAGCCAAGGACUCUUUAAGACACAACGAGACCACUGUAAAACCAACCGUGGAUAGGCGGACCACUAGACGUCGAACCCCAAUUUCAUAUCAUACAUCUAUUAGAAAGAUAUCCUAAGAGCUACUUGAAUUCCCACUUAUAAACUCCCGAAAUUUUCCGGUUAUGCAAUCAGGUGUUGGGGAUACAGGGGAAGCAUAAUAUCUCACCCAAAACUAGCAAAUCCUACAUCCAGCUGUAUCCAUCCUUCAACACAUAACAAAGAAACCUUAGGAAAUCGUCUACCUCAACUUUCGAAAAGCAUCCAUUAUACGAGUUAUGGCAAUACUCCCGAACUCCCGCCCCAGUACUGGGUGGCAUCGAGGUUAUCUCACCAACAACUGCAUAAAAGAGUUUUCGAUGUCGGCGAACCUAAACUCAGGUAUUCUAGAACUGCAACGAUAAAAUUGUGACGAUAACACCUCGGAGCUCAACUCCCCGGGACACUACCACAACCCCUAAAUGACAGGAGGCACCAAGAACAAUGUUCUCGUCACAAAUCGAUCAGAACGAUUCCAAGAUACCCGCGUGAUCCUAAAUUUUUUUUAGUGAAAUUUGAGAAGAGAAGAGUCAAAACUCUACGUCAGGAUGCCUUACCAGAGCGAUGAAGGGACUGAGGAGUAAAAAGAAUUCCUAACUCUCCGACCUAUAAUUCCUAAAUGACUCAAAACAUUUUUCUAGACUCAACAACGCCAACGAUUCGAUCAAGCAGGGGGCUCCUAAGUCGGGGAAGGCUCUGAUACCAACUUGUAACGCCCUCGAUGCGGCUAUAUCUCCCACGUGUCGAAGCACGACUUAGAGGCAUAACCGCAUUGAAUGGAAUGUCGCAAGUGAGGUAAUCUUCACACAACCCAUGUAAUACAUAAGGGAAAAGGAUACAUAGUUGGCUUACAAUCGCCACUUCACACAAUACAUGAAUAGAGCAUUACAUCAUCCAAAUGCAAUAAAGGUCCGACUACGGAACCAAAAUAAAAGAAGAACCCCAAAUGCGACAAGGUCCCCGAUCAACCCCAACUGGGCUCCACUAUUGAUCAACUAGAACGAAACAACACAAAGGACAAGAUCUUCAUCGAGCUCCUCCUGAGCUUGGUUGCGUCAUCUGCACGGAGUCAUCGGCACCUGCAAGCUGGUUUUGGAAGUACCUGUGAGUCACGGGGACUCAGCAAUCUCACACCCUCGCGAUCAAGACUAUUUAAGCUUAUGGGUAAGGUAAAGGUAUGAUGUGGAGCUGCAACAAGCGACUAGCAUAUAUGGUGGCUAACAUACGCAAAAGAGAGCGUGAAGAGAAGGCAAAGCACGGUCGAGAAACUAUGAUCAAGAAGUGAUCCUAGAACAACCUACGUCAAACAUUACUCCAACAUCGUGUUCACUUCCCGGACUCCGUCGAAAAGAGACCAUCACGGUUACACACGCGGUUGAUGUAUUUUAAUUAAGGUCAACUUCAGGUUUUCUACAACCGGACGUUAAUAAAUUCCCAUCUGCCCAUAACCGCGGGCACGGCUUUCGAAAGUUCAAAUCCCCGCAGGGGUGUCCCAACUUAGCUCAUCACAAGCUCUCACGGUCAACGAAGGACAUUCCUUCUAGCGGGAAGACCCGAUCAAACUCGAAAUCCCGGUUACAAGACAUUUCGACCAUGGUAAAACAAGUCCAGCAACACCGCCCGAAUGUGCCGAUAAAUCCCAAUAGGAGAUGCACAUAUCUCGUUCUCAGGGCACACUCAGAUGAGCACUAUGUACAACUAAAACUAGCCCUCGAGUUUCCCCGAGGUGGCGCUGCAAGUGGCUCUGUUUGGACCAACACUCAGAGCAGCACUGGNNNNNNNNNNNNNNNNNNNNNNNNNNNNNNNNNNNNNNNNNNNNNNNNNNNNNNNNNNNNNNNNNNNNNNNNNNNNNNNNNNNNNNNNNNNNNNNNNNNNNNNNNNNNNNNNNNNNNNNNNNNNNNNNNNNNNNNNNNNNNNNNNNNNNNNNNNNNNNNNNNNNNNNNNNNNNNNNNNNNNNNNNNNNNNNNNNNNNNNNNNNNNNNNNNNNNNNNNNNNNNNNNNNNNNNGACCCUUGAGUCUGCAGAACCCAAGGGAAAAAAGGCUAGGUGGCGAAUGGUAAAACCAAUGUUGGGCAUUGCUGGAGGAGUUUUAUUCAAGGCGAACUGUCAAGGGGUUCCCAUUAUAACCCAACCGCGUAAGGAACGCAAAAUCCGGGAACAUAACACCGAUAUGACAGAAACUAGGGCGGCAAGAGUGGAACAAAACACUAGGCAUAAGGCCGAGCCUUCCACCCUUUACCAAGUAUAUAGAUGCAUUAAUUAAAUAAGAGAUAUUGUGAUAUCCCAACAAGUAAACAUGUUCCAACAAGGAACAACAUCUCCAUGUUCCAACAAGGAACAAACUUCAUCUUCACCUGCAACUAAUAACACUAUAAGAAGGGCUGAGCAAAGCGGUAACAUAGCCAAACAACGGUUUGCUAGGACAAGGUGGGUUAGAGGCUUGGUUCAACAAUAUGGGAGGCAUGAUAAGCAAGUGGUAGGUAUCGCAGCAUAGGCAUAGCAAAAGAGCGAGCAACUAGCAAGCAAAGAUAGAAGUGAUUUCGAGGGUAUGGUCAUCUUGCCUGAAAUCCCGCAAGGAAGAAGAACGAGUCCAUGAAGAAGACAAACGGACGUAGUCGAACGGAUCCUCACAAUGCAACGUUAUCGGAACCAACCCGAAGAAGCAACACCGGAAAAGAGCAAACAACAUAGUAAACAACCACCACAUAGACAUAGCAUGAUCUGCAAAAAAGUAUGAUGCAUGUCCGGUUUAAAGAGGGCAUGGCAUGGCAAAAUGCACAAGCAAUCCUACAAAUUAAGUGGAGCUCAAUAUGCAACUCCAUUGCAUAUUGACGAAACACCACGUGACUUAUUUAGUCCGAUCUCGUUUAUGUACCCAACAAGAUUAAAUGUUGAUUAACAUGGCAAGAGGUGAAGCUAAGUAAAACUACCUAUCUAGUCAAGUUUAAAUGAGGCCGGAAGCAACGAACAACAAUUCCGGAAAAAUCCCAUAUGCAUAUAUUAGGUGUGUUACGGUUCUGCCCUAAACACAAUUUUAGAGUUGUUAAACAUGCAAAUUGAGGCCACCAAGUUAAACUAGGCAUUUUUCCACCCCAUUUACAUAUAAAGUUUGUUAGGUUUGGAGCUACGGUUAUUUAGUUAUGAAAUAAAUCAUUUUAGCAAGUUAAUUAAGCAAGUUUAAACAAACAACAUCUAAAGCAUUUUAAACAUAGAUGAAAGUUGGAUAUUAGUAAACUAGAUGAAUUUCUAAGCAAGUUUCAUAUAUAAAGUUUUUCCAUGUGAUGCAUAGUUUGAGAGUUAUUAAAUGUAUGAACAUGAGGGUUUUUUCUGCAAAAGUGCUCUCUCUCUGGGAUAAAGGCAAAAUCGCAGACCUGAAAAAAAGAGGAACUGGGCCGAAUCUGGCCGGCCCAACAAGAGAAAAAAAACAAGAGGAGGGGGCACUUGGGGGCUGCUCACCCUGGGAUUGGCCCAACUGGAGGAGGAGGCCGGGCAGCUGGGCCUCGCGCAGCUGUCAACGAGAGAAGGAGGACUCGGCGCUUGUCGUCGUCCUCGCAUGCUCGCAUCUAGAAACAGGGAAGCAGCGACCGAUGCGGAGGAGACAGCAGCAGGACGAACUCCGGCGGCGCUCGGAACCAGCAGGAGACGGCGAAGGCAAGGGGAAUCCGAUCGGAUCCAAGGCGGAGCGACUGGAUCAGGCAAGGGUCGACUUGGAGCUCCAGGCGUCGGUGUUCUUCGCGGCUUGGUGCAGUUCGGCGCAGAGGAGCGGCGGUGCUGAUAGCCUACUCCGGCGAGAGGACGGCGAGGGAGCCUGGCGGGCGUUGGAAAGCAGCAGAAGGGCCGGCCUUGGAGCAGAUUGGGCGCAGGGAUCCAGGACCCGUGAGGGGGAGAGGGGCGGCCAACAUUCCUGGGGCUUGGCCGGCUCGUUGAAGACGAGCAGCAGCGGGUCAACGCAGGCGGGGGCUCGCUGCAACGCAGAGACGAGUCGGGGACGGACUUGGUGCCGCGGAGCUCGGGGCCAUGGCGAGCGGAGCACCUGCGAAGGGGAAGAGAGAGGUCAGGGACGGGUGAGAGGAGAUGAAGCACGGGAAGGAGAGGGGCGGCACUGUUCCUGGUGGAUGAGAGAGGAGGCAGGGGCUUCAGGAGAGCGAGGAGGAUCUCCACUCCUCUGGAUCGAAGAGGGGGGAGGAAGCUCUCGAUCGAGGCUGCGGGGUUUUCUGGCGGCUUCAAACCGAAGAGCUCGGGCUCGAGUAGUGGUUGGUGGGAGGAGGAAUGGGGGAAUCCCGAUGUGGAUUCGGUGGAGUGGCAGCGGCGAUGGGACAAACCCCCUAGAUUUUAGGGUUACUGCCUAGGUCUAUAUAAAGCACUGGAUUUUUGAUUAGGGGCUAUCUAGAGCCUCCGAUCAAAAUCGGACGGUUCAGAAAGAAUAGGCUAGGGAGUCCAAAUAAUAAAACGGUGAUAUUUUGUAAAUAUUUGGGGAUGUUUCGAACACAGCGGUAGCAACAGCCCGAGUCGUGUCCGGGACAGCUUUCGGGCGCGCGCGCGAGGAGGGCCGCGGGCUGACGAGAGAGGCUAGGCCUGGCGGUAUGUACACUGUAUAGACGGUCUCGAGCUGAGAGAAGAGAAGAGAGAGAGCCCCAGCGACUGUUUCCGGAGACCGAAAACGUCCGACGUUAGACCGGCUAUAAUACCGCUAUAGUUUAACGGUUGGGCUAUCAAACGAACUCCGAAUGCGAUGAAACUUGACAGGCGGUCUAUCUACACUAUAAUAAGACCGCACGCCAACUUUCAACCCAUUCCGAGAACAUUUUCUGGCCACUUAUAAAAUAAUAUUUCGGACAUGCCGCGGGCGCGUGCAAGUGUGUCUGGGCUCAGAAUGGACAACGGAGAGAACGAGGAGGCCGGGACGGAUGCAAGUUUCGAAAACAUGAUGAUGCAAUGCACAUGAUGACAUGAUAAGAUGCAACACGCAAGCAAAUGACAUGACAACGACAGCGAAUAACUGGAGGACACCUGGCUCAACGGUCUCGGGGCGUCACAACAAUAAUCUUUGAUCUUAUUUUCACUACAAAAAAGACACAUCUGUGACAUUUUGGGCCGAACGAUUUUUUUUCUGUCAUACAUAUGACGCUUCUAUGACGAUAAUUGUGACAAAACCCGGUAUCAUCAUAGAUGUGAUGGGCUCCUACUUCUAUGACAAAAAAUCAUGACAGAAAAUGGGCUUUUCGUCCUGGGCGGGCCGGAGACGCAGCUGCAUGACAUUCUUUGGGCCGUCCAUGAUGGAAAAAACCGUGGUAGAAGCGAGGGCGAGGAAAAUUUCGGGGAGUUCCCAGCUACGGUGGGAGGUCGGGGGCCGAGCGAUGCGCGUUUCUCUCGUACACGUACGCGCGUGUGCGCGAGGCGUUGGCUCUAACUGAACCCGAGCGAGGCAUUGGGCUCUAACUGAACCUGAGCGAUUGCACUGAAGGCUACACGUUACUGAACCCGAGCGAUCGAUCGAUGGCUGUUAACUAAACCCGAUCGAGCGAUUCCUUCGCUACUGCUGCUAACUGAAGCCGACCGAUGCUGACUCUGGAUGGACAGUGNNNNNNNNNNNNNNNNNNNNNNNNNNNNNNNNNNNNNNNNNNNNNNNNNNNNNNNNNNNNNNNNNNNNNNNNNNNNNNNNNNNNNNNNNNNNNNNNNNNNNNNNNNNNNNNNNNNNNNNNNNNNNNNNNNNNNNNNNNNNNNNNNNNNNNNNNNNNNNNNNNNNNNNNNNNNNNNNNNNNNNNNNNNNNNNNNNNNNNNNNNNNNNNNNNNNNNNNNNNNNNNNNNNNNNNNNNNNNNNNNNNNNNNNNNNNNNNNNNNNNNNNNNNNNNNNNNNNNNNNNNNNNNNNNNNNNNNNNNNNNNNNNNNNNNNNNNNNNNNNNNNNNNNNNNNNNNNNNNNNNNNNNNNNNNNNNNNNNNNNNNNNNNNNNNNNNNNNAUGACCCGGAUCGAUCGAGCCGGUUGAGGCUGGAUGAACAGGACCCGUUGGAGGGCUGGAUGAACAUGACCACCCCGUGGAGGGCAGUAUGAACAGUAGACGAUGGAGGGCAGGAUGAAUAGUAGACGGUGGAGGGCUGGAUGAACAGUAGCCCGUGGAGGGGUGGUUGAACAGGAGCCCUGGAGAGGGCUGGUUGAACAGUAGCCGGUGGAGUAGCGCGCGGUGGAGGCUGGAUGAACAGGAGCCCGUGGAUGAACAGUCGCAGGUGCAGGCUGGAGGAGGUCGACGGUGGAUGAACAGUAGCUCGUGGAGGCUGGAGGGGGUCGACGGUGGAGAUGAACAGUAUCCCGUGUAGUCCUGUUUUGCGGUACGCCACACCCCUUUCGAUGAACAGGACCCCUAUUUCGACCGUAGGAGGUCCGUUUCGUCCAUUUUGCAGUACGCCACACCCCUCCCGAUGAACAGGACCCCCGUUUCGAUCGUAGGAGGUCCGUUUCCUCCGUUUUGCGGUACGCCAGACCCCUCCCGAUCAAAAGGACCCCGUUCCGAACGUAGGAGGUCUGUUUCCUCCGUUGUGCGGUACGCCAGGCCUCGUUUCCAUCGCCUGUUCCGUCCAAGCCCUCCCGAUGAACACGACCACGCAUUCCGUUCCGACCCAGCCGGUUGUCUCCCACACGUUCCGUUGCCUCCCGAUGAACACGACGCAUUCCGUUGCCUCCCCAUGAACACGACGCAUUCCGUUGCCUCCCCAUGAACACGACGCAUUCCGUUGCCUCCCCAUGAACACGAGGACGACGCUGUUUCUCCGUUCCGACCCAGCCAUGUCAACGAGCCCUCGCCGUACGUAUGCGCGAGUAGGCGUUCGAGACCCCGCCUGCAUGUACACAUACGUGGCCGUAUUUUCUUUCUUGCACCCUGGCCGCCUCUACUACGACACGUGCGCGCCUCUACAUCCACCAGUAUAUAUGUACGUACACGUUCGCGACCAGAAUGACAACGCUACGUACGCUUCGACCAGGUGGGUCCCGACUGUCAGGCACUUCCUUGCGUGCGAAGAUGUAGCUGGUGGGUCCCAGCAGUCAGGGGGGCGAAAUACGGUGGCCCGUCCGGUGGGUCCCCGCUGUCAGGUGGAGGAAUAAUUAUUUUGCACGUAAUAAGGAGGCACUUCCUUGCUGCGGCCGUGGACCCAGCUGUCAGCGUCUCCACGUACAGUCCACGUCCGAUGGAAGCCGUUCCUUGACCAUGUUAACCACGCCGCGCCAAGAGCACCAGGGCGGUGGACGACGACAAGGCCUAGGAAGGGGACGACGCGGAGCCGGGGAAGACGCGAUAGUACGAGGGCACUGGUUCGCUGUGGUGUGAGGCUGCCGUCACCGCAGAGUAACAGGGGGUGUGGGUGAGUAGAGGGAUGGCCUGGCCAGCGGUGGGAGUAGUAGGGGGCGGUGAGGCCUCCGCCGCAUCGCAGCCGGCCACGGGAGGCAGGAGCACGAGGCACGACUGGCGCUGGUUUGGGCGGCUAGAGCAAGAAGACCAGAGGUUGAAGAAGCACUACGGCCACUGGAUUGACAUCGUACGGUCACUGGAGCUAGAAUCGUGCAUAUUGACUAAGUUGACAAAGCCCUCCAUCCCAGUCAACUUAGUAGGCCCACAAGUCAGCCUGCCACUAUACUGGGUCCCAGCUAACAGGGGGAGUAUUCAUUUUUUUGUGCGUAAUAAGGAGGCACUUCCUUGCGUGCGAAGAUAUAGCUGGUGGGUCCGAGCUGUCAGCGGCGGUAACGAUUUUUUCACGAAAUACAGAGGCCCUUUCGGUGGGUCCCUGAUAUCAGGUGGAGGAAUCAUUAUUUUGCGCAUAAUAAGGAGGCAUUUCCUUGCGUGCGGCCGUGGACCCAGCUGUCGGCCUCUCCACAUACAGUCCACUUCAGAUGCAUGUCGGUUGUUGACCAUGUUGACCAGGCCGCGCCAAGAGCACCAGGGCGGUGGACGACGGCGAGGCCUAGGAAGGGAACGACACGGAGGCAGGGAAGACUCGACAGUUGUUUCCCACGCGGAGGGGAGUACGGCUAUACGAGGGUUUACUGGUUCGUCUGCCGUCGCUGGAGAAUAACAGCAGGUGUGGGUGAGUAGAGGGAUGGCUAGACCAGCGAUGGGAGUACGGUGGGGCGGUGAGGCCUGCGCGGCAGCACAGCCGGCCGUGGGGAGGAGGGAGCAGGCAGUCCCGCCGGCGCUUGUUUGAGCGGCUGGAGUAGGAAGAGCAGAGAUUGAAGAAGCACGACGGCCGUUGGAUGGACAUCCAACAGUCACUGCUUGUGCGUCAACCUUUUUUUAGGAAAGCCUCAAAUCUAUGGAAAAUAGCAUAAAUCCCAUCUGCCAUUAUUUCUAAUAAUUUUCAGCCCAUUUGCUAAUUCUUAAGGUUUUUUUGGAGCCCAUAUUCUUUUUGUUAGCAUUACAGCAUAAAUUGUGGCCACGGUUAAAAAAUUAUAUGAAAUUUUGCAUAUUUCAGUGCGGUCCGAACUGUUUUUAAUCCCGAAAUUUCGUCUCACAUUCAAACUGAUUUAAAAAAUAAAUGUAUAUAAAUAUAAAAUCCAACAAAUUCUCCACGCAUAAAAAUUAAUAUAAUUUAAAAUCUUGAAAUGAAAAAAAAGAUAUUUGAAACUAAUUGCCGGUUUGAUGUGUUUUAAAAAUGUACACCCCAUUUCUCAUUACUGAUGGGCCAUUUUCUCGGCCUGCCGAAUGAAAGCUCUCCUCGUCUUGAAAGAUUUGCAACCCAACAGGCCUGACAAAGUGACUUACUUGGCAAAUCACAAAAAAACUGGGCUAUGGCCAUGGACCCAGCUGUCAGCCUCUCCACGUACAGUACUCUUCCGAUGGAAGUCGUUCCUUGACCAUGUUGACCAUGCCGCAUGGAGAGCACCAUGGCGAGGCCUAGGAAGGGGAAGACGCGGAGCCGGGGAAGACACGGCAGUGGAAGCCCGCGCGGAGAGGAGUACGAGGGUUCACUGGUUCGGCUGCGGUGUGAGGCUGCCGUCGCCGCAGGGCCUGGCCAGUGGUGGGAAUAGUAGGGGGCGGUGAGGCCUCCACGGCAGCACAGCCGACCACGGGAGGCAGGAGCAUGCGACACGACCGGCGCUGCUUUGGGCGGCUGGAGCAAGAAGACCAGAGGUUGAAGAAGCACUAUGGCCGUUGGAUGGACAUUGUACGGUCACUGGAGCUAGAAUCGUUCAUAUUGACUAAGUUGACAAAGCCCUCCGUCCCCGUGAACUUUGUUGGCCCACAAGUCAUCCUCCCACUAUGGUGGGUCCCAGCUAGCAGGGGGUAUUCAUUUUUUGUGCGUAAAAAGGAGGCACUUCCUUGCGUGCGAAGAUAUAGCUGGUGGGUCCGACAUGUCAGCGGGGGGAACAUUUUUUUUGCGAAAUACAGAGGCCCUUCCGGUGGGUCCCAGCUGUCAGGUGGAUGAAUCAUUAUUUUGCGCGUACAGUCCACGGCCGAUGGAUGUCGUUCGUUGACCAAGUUGACCAGGCCGCGCCGAGAGAACCAUGGCGGUGGACGACGGAGAGGCCUAGGAAGGGAACGACACGGAGCCGGGGAAGACUCGACAAUGGUUGCCCACGCGGUGGGGAGUACGAGGGUUUACUGGUCCGGCUGCCGUCACCGGAAAAUAACAGGAGGUGUGGGUGAGUAGAGGAAUGGCCUGGCCAGCAAUGAAGUAGGGUGGGGCGGUGCGGCCUGUGCGGCAGCAUAGCCGGCCACGGGAGGCGGGAGCAGGCAGUCCCAUCGGAGCUGGUUUGGGCGGCUGGAGCAAGAAGACCAGAUAUUGAAGAAGCAGCAAGGCCAUUGGAUUAACAUCCAACGGUCACUGCUGCUAGAAUCGUUUGUGGACUAAGUUGACAAAGCCAAAGUACACGUACCCACAAGUCAGCCUCCAAAUCUGUCCCAAACAGCAUACAACCCAAAAUUUCUAGCCAGAUUCAAAUUAAUUUUAAAUCUAAAUAUACCUUAAUUUAAAUUCAAUGAAAUUUUACCUGCACAAAAACAAUGAAAUUUAAAAUAUCAAAAUCCAAAAGAAAACAGUAUUUUGGAACUAAUUGUCUCUUUGCUGUAUUUUUUCAUUUUACAGCCCAUUUCUUAUUACUUCUAGCCCAUUUUCUGGGCAAAAUACAUCCCUCCUCGUCUUGAAAGAUUUCCGUCCUAGUAGGGAGUAGAAAAGCAAGUAGGCCUACGUUGGUUAUUCUGCAAAAAACAAAAUAGCUGGCUAGCAUUUUUCAGAAAGGAAAAAAACAAACUGGGCUGGUCAUGUGCUAAACAUAUGAAAUGAAAGCCUGGGCUAGACGGGCCACGGGUCCCGCACAACCUAGUUGAUGCCCUUCUCCAUCCUGAAAAAACAAAAUUACUGCGCGCGCUGCUGGGUCCCUACUGUCAUCCUCACCAUGUACAAUCAUCUCCUUAUUCCUCUCGGUUGUUGACCAUGUUGACAACACUGGAGGGCGACGCUGCGGCGAGCGAACCAAGGCGGAGGAUGAUGGUGAGGCCUCAGACGGGAACGAACAGGAGCCGUUGCAGAUCACAGCCAGCCGUGGGAGGCGGGAGCAGGCGGUCCCGCCGGUGCUGAUUUGGCUUUGGCGGCUCGAGGAAGAAGAGACUGAAGAAACGCGACAGACGUUGAAUGUCAAUCCAACGGUCAAGGUUGGCAGAAUCGCUUGUUGACUAAGUGGACACCAAGUAGCAUACUUUUUUAUAUAUAGGAAGAAAACUGCGAGGAGAAUGCGUUCGUCUGCCGUCCUCCUCACAGGGAAUGUUCGGCACAUAAGUGACUAGCACCCUUGGUUUUCAACUGAGAGGUCUUGGGUUCGAGUCCCAGGAACUCUCAAUUUUGUCCUCCUUCCUUCCUCGCAAAAACGGAAAGAAAAUCAAAGACUUGGGAAGGCGUACAGAACAAGCUAGUGUACCAGUAAUGAGACGUUGCCGAGUUUUAGAAAAAAGAAAGACGUGCUCCAGUAGCUGGUUCGAAUCCAAACCUAGACUAUGACUAUAUAUAGUGCUAUGCUACUCUGCAAGUAAUGAAACUGACAUAUCCAACGUUCGCUUCUCCUCUUCUCUACUUACUCUGCCUAGCAUCAGAAGCUCUGGCCGCAGCAACCAUGUCCGCUGGCUUCUCGUCCACCUGCUCUUCAGCAGGCAACAACCAGAUAUGCACCAAGUCGCAACCCGUACCAUCGCCUGUGGGUCUCAUCGCACCCUCGCCGGCACGUUCAUCGUAGCCGAUUGCUUAUCGCAACCCGCUGCCGUUGGUGUGGUGCCACUGCUGCAAAUCACGCAGAGUCAUCCGUUGCGUCUCAACCACAAUCCGCAACCCUGGCCGAAUCUUCUACAAAUGCCCGAAUCAUGGGGUAAUAAUAUGUUUAAGUGUUGUUCUGCUGCUUUCAGUUGCUGAUUUUUUUAAUAGUUUGGUUGAUGAUCUACCAAUUUGAUUCGUGCAGAAAAGGGAAGAUUCGUGUGAUUUGUAUUUCUGGGGAGUUGCUGAUGUGGGGGAAUGCUACUAUGCUGAUUAUUUGGUUAGCCGAGGAAUCCCAAUACCAGGACAAGUAACUGAAGGAAUGGCAGAAGAGGAAGAUGCAGAGCAGAAGGUUAAAAAUGCAGUUCCUCUGAUCAUGGCCAAGCAACAGCUGCUGAAUGGCCUUGAUAGCAAUGAGGAGAUGAAAGAGCUUGUGAAGAUAAUGGGCAAAAUCGAUGUGCUCUGUAGGAUGAUUGUCUCUUUAUUUGUAGUGUAUGUAGCACUCGUGAUCUAUUCAGUGGCUACGACAUGAGCACUUUGCUGAAACUAGUAAUGAAUGAAACCUAUGUAGCAGGCUGGGCAUAGUGUUGUGAACAUCUAAUGAUUUCUAUUAAGGAAAUUAGGGGGUAUCCCCUUUUGCUCAUAUAAAUAAAUAAAUAGCAGAGGCCCUGUCGGGUCAGCUUUGUUCUCAUUCGAAGAUGUCGAGCAAACUGUAGUCCAACAACAAACUAUGUCAUCAAAUUCAAGUUUCACAGCCAAAUAUGAGUACAACUAAACAACAAUGUCAUCAUGUUUUAGUUGUCAUACAAUCACCAAACACAAAUCAGCAUACAUAACAAGUGAUGUUCUCACAACAAAAUACUAAACAACAUGUUCAUCAGGUUUCAGUCGUCAUAGCAAACACAAUUUCACAUAGUAGAUAAAAAAACGUCUUCUGACAGGCAAACAAGACAAAAGCAAUGUAAUCAUCAUCCGCGGUAGCAGCGUUAACAUCUUCGCCAUGUGUAUCAGUCUGAAUCGUAAUUCCCCAUGGUGUCAUCUUCUUCUUCGUCCUCAACGUCCUCGAACGUUGGCUUCUUCUUGAUCAACUCUUGUAUGUCAACAACACGACAGGCAAUCUUUUCACCGGCGUCAUUGACGUGAUGAUUCUCAAAGAUAUUAGGAACAUCUGUGUUAUCUUGUACAUCAGGAGCAGUGUAAGCAUCAUCUUGUUGUGCAACUUCAUUAAACGAAUUCCUCUGCUCAAACCUUUGCAAUACUCUCCAGUCAUCGCUACGUGCAAAUGUGUCUUCCAAGAAAAAUAUCUGUGUUGCUUGAUUUGUCAAAAUAAAAGGCUCGUUGGUCUGGUACGCCACCUUGACAUUGAUGGAUUUGAAAUAAUCAUCAGCUCUGGGUUUUGUGAUCCUGGAAAACAGGUUAUACCAACGCCAGCACAACAGAACCACACACCGAUGAUCCUCGAAACUGGAGAUAUACUGCAACUGAAUAAUGUUUGUUAUGUUUGCAUACAUUUCAGUUGUCUCUUUGUCAUACGUAUCCGUGCUCAUGAUGGCACUAUUUUGUGUCUUCCUGCCUUCGUCUCGUGCAAGGGUGUUGUAGCGCACAUCUCCAACAGCGCAAGAUUCAUAAUGUCUUACCGGAGUAUCAGGACCCAUUGCUAGUGAGUAAAGGGCAUCAUCAACUGCCUGCCCAUCCUCCCACAUCUUCUUAACCUAUGGUUAGAAAAUAGACGAGCUGAUCAUCUUAUGUACUCAAUAUAUUAAGAAAACUGACAGUGCACUUCAAAAGCUUACAUGGUUCUUGAACCAUUUCGCAAAUCCUGCCAUAACCAGUUUGUCAAUGUUUCUUGGAUUUUGCGGUAGUAACUCCUCUUUGUAGAUGUUGCACAACAUAGUGAUCGCGUCAAACAUCUAAAUAUAUAAGAAUGUGCUGCAAGUUUAGUAGAUUACGAUGUAUAAGCUGUAGUACCGCACUUACUUGAUAUAAGGUAGUAUCUCGGGACAGUUAUUCAACACAUACCAAACCAUUUUGUCCAAAUCUUUAGGUUUGCCCUCUUGUCGACCCUUCCCUGUAACUCGAACAGAAUAAUCGAAAACAUUGAGCCUGGGAUUGUCUUCACCCACCUCUUUGCUAAGCUGAUCAGCUGUUUCAAUGUAUUUUGAGCAGAAUGUCAACGCUUCUGUAGCAAUGUAGGCCUCUGCAAUGGAACCCUCGGGUCUAGCUCUAUUCCUAACAUAGCCCUUGAAAGUGCCUAGCUGCCUUUCAAUAGGGUACAUCCACCCAUACUGUACUGGACCUCUAAGUAGUGCCUCAUCAGGUAGAUGAACAGCCAAAUGCACCAUCACAUCAAAGAAGGCUGGAGGAUAUAUCUUCUCAAGGUCGCAUAGGAUAGUUGGUAUCUUGUCUCUAAGACGCUCCAAAGCAUCUAUCCUGAUAUUCCUACUGCAGAGUUCCCUGAAGAAUUGUCCCAACUCUGCAACUGCUCUGUAUAAGUCAGGGCGGCCCAAUCCUCUAAGGAUAACAGGUAAAACCCUUUGAAGUAGGACGUGGCAGUCAUGAGUUUUCAACCCUUGUACCUUGUUUCCAUCUGCACUGACUCUCCUUUCAGGGUUGGAAGCAAAUCCAUGUGGGAAUCUCACACGUGAUAGGACCUCGCAGAAUUCUUUUCUUUUUACCUUGUCCAAGACGUAAACAGCUGGUGUCAUAUCCUGUGGUUUACCUUCAUUGUGCACCUACAAAUACUUUCUAAUACCCAAGUGUGUCAAAUCAAUCCUAGAUUUUAAGGUAUCUUUCGUCUUGCCUUCAAUAUUAAGAAGUGUGUCGAUAAUGCUGUCACAUAUAUUUUUCUCAAUGUGCAUCACAUCAGGAUUAUGCCGCAGAUCCAAAUCUUUCCAAUACUCCAAGUCCCACAAAGUGGACCUGCGGGUAAACAAUAAUCUCUCUUCUACCCUGCCACACUUCCUUUUCCCGCUACCAUUACCAGGAUGGUUUCCUAGUGUAAUAUGCCCGACCUUCUCUAAUUCCACUUGCAACUCAUCGGUGGUGAGCCUCUUUGGCGCAUCAUGGUUUUCAUGCUUUGCAUUGAACACAUGUCUUCGGUAUUUUCUAGGAUGCGGCUUGUCCUUGGCAAGGAAAUGGCGGUGUCCAAUGUAACAGAUCUUGCUAAGUAUUGCGUAUGACAGCGGAUUCCUGUCACAGCGAACACGUGCAUUGUAACCAUGUGUCGUUCGCCCUGACAUACUGCCCAAAGCCGGAUAAUCAUGGAUGCACCAAAUUAUAACAACACACAGAAAGAAAUCAGCUGGUGGGCUGCUAUAUAGGUCUCGAGUGAGAACACCCUUCCAUAGCUGUUGAAGUUCCUCCACAAGAGGCUCCAUGAACAAAUCAAAAUGCUUCCCAGGACUUUUUGGACCUGGGAUGAGCAAGGCCAUCAUGUAGUUUUAUUCUUUGGUGCAUACAUUUGGAGGCAUGUUGUAUGGGAUAACAAGCACUGGCCACAUGCUAUAUGUGGCGCUCUGGUGGCCAAAUGGGUUAAAUCCAUCUGAAGCUAAGCCAAGUCUAAUGUUUCUCGGGUCAGCAGCAAACUCUUUGUAUUUAUCAUUGAAGCUUUUCCACUCACUACCAUGAGAUGGAUGGCUCAUUACAUUCUGAUCUCUGUACUCCUGGUUCCUAGAAUGCCACAGUACAUCCUCUCUUGUUUCAGCAUCAUGAAACAACCUCUGCAAUCUUGGUGUAAAUGUAAAAUGUCUCAGAACAUUAUGAGGAAUCCUCUUCACAGCAUCGCCAUCUUUCCAUCUUGAUGAUUUGCAUUUUGGGCAUUCACUUAAGUUGGCAUAAUCCUUACGGAACAGAACACAAUUAUUCUUACAAACAUGGAACAUAUCAUAUCCAAUUCCAACUGCACGAAGGAAAUUCUUCAUUUUACUGUCGUGUGUGGCAGCUCAGACGCAUCUGGGAAAGAUUCGUGGAAAGCAGCCAACAUCGCAUCGAAUGAUUUGUUGGUCAUCCGCUCAUUUGUCUUCACCUGAAGAAAGGUGACCACAGCUGAGAAUAAGCUGAGAAUACUGACAGCUUAUUUCCUGGGGUGACAGCAACUUGCAUUGUUCCAACAUGCGGGCCCAUCGUUUUUCUUCUGCAGGUGAAAGUUCACGGAAUGCACGAGCAUUUUGUAGCAUUGUUUCAAUGUUGGUCAAACUCACUGGCUCCGCCACCACCACCUCCUCCUCCUCUUCCACCUGAGCAUCAGGCAGAUCAAGAUGGUGAUCUGCUGCUUCCACGUAGUCAAUAACAUUGACGUUCACAGCUUCACCAUGAUGAACCCACCUAGUAUAUGUGACCGACAUCCCAUACAAGUGUAGAUGAUUUUGCACAGUUGACUGGGGUGUUGUAACUGAAUUCAUACAACUGCUACACGGGCAGAGCACAUCUGAUUUCGGACCACCGUACUCAGCUUUGAUAAAGUUCAUGAAGUUUUCAACCCCCUCGACAUAUGCAGCAGAGAAUCUUCGAGCAGAAGUUAUCCAAGUGCUGUCCAUCUGUUAGACAUACAAAUUAGUUCUUCUACUAGAUAUUAUAGGAAAUACAUAUAUGCUUUUUAUGAAGUCCAGAAAAAAACCCUAGGUCAAUGUCUAAAGCUAUGGCAAGAUAUUUGGACGAGCAGAUCUAAGUAACGAAAUAUAUGUAAAGCUAAUUCAGCAAACAUAUUUGAGUGCCAAAUUAUGGCAGGCUGUUUCAGCAGUCAAUGAGGCCGAGCACACAGCCAUCGAACUAUCGAAGGCCAUCGCAGCAACAAAGAUCGAGUAUAAAACAGUGUAGAGCUAUUUCAGCUAACAGAUUGGCUACUAGACCAUGGCAAUCUACGUCACAAUAAAUAUAUGGCAGUAUAUUUUAGCAACUAAUCGGCCUUGGCAUACCAUCUCAGCUAAGCAUAUUGAGUGCAGAACAAGGCAAGGAAGCUUCUUAAGCAGAGCAUAUUGACAGUAAACUACUUCGGCAAACAGUGAGAUUAACAACGUCUAUCAGCUAACAUUCAGCGCUACACCGACAUGAACGAGGCCUUAGUCUAGAAUGCGCGUGCCAUGGGAGAAGCUGACCGCCAUGCAUCUCCACACGAAUGUCGCCAACGGUGGCGGCGCUGACCGUUGUGCGCCUCCACAAGAACGUAGCCAGAGGUGGCGGCGCGGCUAGAGGACGGCAGUCUACGAGAGCGUACUGUGGGAGCGAGAGGAUCGCCAAACCGCGGCGCCGACGUAUCAACACGGCGGGGAGGGGCGGCUUUGGCAGAGCGAAUGGAGUGGAGGGGGACAGGGGGGAGGGGGNNNNNNNNNNNNNNNNNNNNNNNNNNNNNNNNNNNNNNNNNNNNNNNNNNNNNNNNNNNNNNNNNNNNNNNNNNNNNNNNNNNNNNNNNNNNNNNNNNNNNNNNNNNNNNNNNNNNNNNNNNNNNNNNNNNNNNNNNNNNNNNNNNNNNNNNNNNNNNNNNNNNNNNNNNNNNNNNNNNNNNNNNNNNNNNNNNNNNNNNNNNNNNNNNNNNNNNNNNNNNNNNNNNNNNNNNNNNNNNNNNNNNNNNNNNNNNNNNNNNNNNNNNNNNNNNNNNNNNNNNNNNNNNNNNNNNNNNNNNNNNNNNNNNNNNNNNNNNNNNNNNNNNNNNNNNNNNNNNNGAUUUUCACGCGAUGGGCGGGGGGAGUUUGGCGCAUGGUCGGUUUCUCCAAGUGCAGUCCCACGUGUCAGUGAAGAAGCAAGCCGAAGCACAUUCCGUUUGCGUGAGCCAUGUGCAGGACCGAACGUGUGUGGGGUGCAAUGCGACCGCAACAGGAGUGUUGUGAGUGUACCACAUUUUUUCCUUUUAAACUAGGUGCUUCGCCCCCUAAAAAAAAAUCUGUUGCUUCGCGCGAUCCAUCGAUACUACUACUAGUAAUCCGGUAAUCCCGACUAAAACGGCGCGGCCGGGUCUUUUCCCGCGCGAUAUGCUGGGAGGUUGGCUUAGUUGGGUUUUUUAGGAUGAGUAAUGCUACACCUAUGUAAUCCCAAUUACGUAAUUAACGUAAUGUGAAACGUGUGAGAUGUUGAUUGUAGAUUGGGGGGAGGGAGGGGCCCAUCGCCAUGAAAAUCAGGGGAGGAGAGAGAGAGGCAAUUUACGUUAACCCUUUCGUAGGUUCCCGCAGAUGUAGAAAGAUGUGUCAGAUCCUGCAAUAUAGGCCGUCCGAUCUAUAUCUAACGGAUAGGAAGGAAACUAUGACAAUUUAGCCGCACUCCUCUCCACAUUUGCAGAUAAGGCUUUCCCUCGCUCAUCCUUUUCUCCCAUAAGAUCUUGAUCUUCCGUGCAAUGCACGGGCAUCUUGCUAGUACUCCUACAAUAUGCAUAUUAUUGUGAAAGUUCAUAUACACCGGCCGAGAUUAAUGCAAACACGGCAGAUUUUCAUUACAUUUCAAACUUUUAUAGGACAAAAAAAUAAAAGAAACCCGACCCUAAACCUAUUCUACGGCGGAGACCGACGUCCUCGAUCUGUGAUCUCCAUGUAUGGGGGCGGGGUUCAAGACCCGUGAAGUGAAGGUGCGGUCUCCAGCGAGGAAAAGUAGAACACGGGAGACGGACCGGCCAAUUGACACACCAUGCCCUGUCGCCUCCCAUGCCCUACUCAUCCUCGGAGGAGUCCCCGACCUCGGCGGUGCCGGACGUUGGACGACGGCAAGUAGGAUGCGUGGCUGACGAUGCUCCCGUCGUCGGCCGCUAGCGUGGCCACCGCUUGUGCGGCGACUUGACCGAGGGCGGCGACCUCGAGCUCCAUCCCCGAAGACAAGCUCUAUCAUAGAGCGUUCGCGCUUGCGGUCAUGGCAGAUGUGGUUCCAGGUAGGAGGACGAUGCGCUAUGGUGUGGAGGUUAGCUGGGCGUUGCCGCUUUAAGUAGCGCAUUCCGGUGAGGCCAAGCGUCCGGGUGCGUCAUUAAGUCGCCGGAGUUGGUUCCGCGGGCACUGAGCCUCUUAAUGACGACAUAUGAACGGACGGCAUGAAUGCGGGCAGCUGGCGCCGGCUGGGAACGCACCGCACGACGGCACGAGGGACGAGGGUUUUAGUGUGCCAGGGUAGUCAGCUACGGUCGUGGCAACGUUGGAGAUUUCCUUUGCUCACAUGUGAUCCCCGCAUGUCAUUGAAAAAGCAAGACGACCCGACAUGGUCUCAGGUCUAGAGGAUGCAGUUGGCCGCGCUACACCACUCCGCGGACGCGUCGCGGCGCCCCGUGCAUCCUCGACGAGCCGGGUGUUGGGGUGUGUUUGGUUUGUGGCCAAAGUGCACCUUGCCAAAAUUUUGGUCAUGACCAAAAGAUUGGUCUUUGUUUGGAUGGUUGCCAUUUUUUGGCAUGCCAAUGAACUCUAGCCAACUCUAGUUCAUUUUUCUUGCCAAUGUCGGCCAAAUCAUGGGCAACCAAUACCUCAACCCAAAUUUUGGUCAUGACCCAAAGAUUGGUCUUUGUUUGGAUGGUUGCCAUUUCUUUGGCAUGCCAAUGAACUCUAGCCAACUCAAGUUCAUUUUUCUUGCCAAUGUCGGCCAAAUCAUGGGCAACCAAUACCUCAACCAAAAUUUUGGCUACCCAAUGCUUUGAUGGGGCAACCUUGGGCACAAACCAAACAUACCGUUGGUCGUGCCACAGCACUAACGCCACCCUCGGCAAACUGAAACCGACCGUGUCUAGCGACAAUAUGAGCGUGUCGCUCACCGCGGUCGCCGUGUCCAGAGGCGGUGCUAGAGCUGCGCCCCGUUGUUGGCCCCAAUGACCCACAUGAACGGUUGUCGGUGGCGAGGAGGUUGUGGGCCAGCUCCUCCAUUGGACUAGUCUGCGCUACGUCGUCCCGACGGGUGUGCCCCACAUGUCUGUUUCCCUGUUUUCCUGUCCAUAUUCGAGCAUCAGUGCUCCGCGUUGCGCAUUAGGCCUUUCACUAUGUAGGACAAGCGAGACAACUUAUUGUUUAUUUGAGCCGUUCAAGUAUAAUCAUGUGGCAUUUAUUAUUUCUCAUUCCUCUCCAACCCUCUUCUCCAUCGAUCAUGUUGCCCUCUAGUCGAGUCCAUCCUCCCGCAUGCCUCAUUUGAACAUUCCGCCGAGUAUCAUUCGCAUGUACCCACCCUAGUCCUCUUUCAAUAGAUCUCUGGACCCCGAGAUGAAAUCGAGAGGGAACGAGUGGGGGCACGUGAUACCUAAGGCGGAUUCAAAAUUUUGAACCGGUGAUCAUAGCAUCCGCAAAUCAUAUAUAAAGGGUAUUCAAUGUUCGUUUUGUUUUUGAACGUACAAUAUACUCCCUCCUAUCCUUUCUAGUUUACAUAUAAGUUUUAUGUGUAGUCAAAGUAUAUCUACUUUGAUCAAAAAGGUAUCAACAUUCAACAACGGCCAAUCAAUAUUGUUAGAUUCGUACGUACUCCUAGAUUUGUACUUGAGAUGGUUUCCAAUUUGACUAUUGACAAGAUUAAUAGUACAUGAGAUGUAUAAUGUGAAAAUUAUAUCAUUGGGAACUCCUUUCACAUAUGUAUUUGACCGUAUGCUUUGUGUAAGUUGCAUGUCAUAUAUUAUUACUCUAACAUUUGGUCAAAGUUAGCCUCGAAAAAUGCAUCAGACCCUGUAUGCUUUGUGUAAGUUGCAUGUCAUAUAUUAUUACUCUAACAUUUGUGUAAGUUGCAUGUCAUAUAUUAUUACUCUAACAUUUGGUCAAAGUAGUAUAGUGGAAGUGGAUCCUUUGACGUAGGUAUCCCUGCCUUACCCUCCCUUUCGGUCACUUACAGGCGGACCCCAUGCUUGCUAGGCCCCGCAUGUCAGUUACUCAAUGGGUUCGGCCACGUCAGGGGAUCCUCAUCCGUAGUAUACUUCCUCUGUUUUUUACUCCGCAUAAAACGGAGGGAGUGGUGGUAUAAUAAAUGACGCGGGCGGGGGAGGGGGAGGGACAUCGGUUUGCUCUCAACUGCGGUCUCACAAGCGAGCGAAAAUGCAAGACGAAGCAUGUUCCAUUCGGUGAGCGAUGUGGAGGGUUCAGCGUGCCGGGCUGCAAUGCGAACGCGACAAGAGGGAUGUACACUCAAAACCGAUUGACCGGUCGUCACCGGAACCACUAUUCACACCAGAACCUUCGCUGCUCGGCCUAUGCGAGCCACUGCCCUAAAACCACACCAAAUCUCCAGCCCAUUCCCCCACCUUUCGAUCCACUAGCCCGCAUCAAGCGUCCCCUAGUUCGCCGGAAAGCCAUGGUGAGCCGCAAGAUCACUUACUACAAGAUGCUGACGCCGGAGCGCCGCGCAGAAAUCGCGGCGGCGGUCGGCGCCACAGACCUCCGUUCCCAAGCUCACUUUGCGGCGGGCCAAUCCCCGAGUUCUCUGGAGCCAAGCUACAAGGAGGAGGAAGCCGAUCCGAUGUUCAUGGCGGAGGUCGCGGCGCAGAAGGCCCUCGACGGGUAUGAGACGAUGGACGUCGACUUCGUGCCGGCGUCCGAGUCCCCCAUGGUGCAGGCGGACCAGCGGUUCAACAUGGCGACACUAAAGGAGGACUGGGAGGCAGAGGCUCAACUCGACGCGGAGCGCGUGCAUGCCGCUGCCAUCGAGGCUCUCAUGCAGGCAGAACCGGAUGUCGUGGAUGUGAACCGGGCGGCGGAGGCUCAACUUGAGGCGGAGCGUGCAAAUGCCGCUGCCAUCGAGGCCCUCCUGCAGGUGGAACCAGACGUCCUAGACUUGAACCAGGCGGCAGAGGCUCGACUCGACACAGAGCGCGCGGAUACCGCUCUUGUCAACGCCCUCCUGCAGGUGGAAUCGGAUGUCCUGGACUUGAACCGGGCGGCGGAGACUCGACUCGACGCAGAGCGCGCGGAUGCCGCUGCCAUCGAGGCCCUCCUGCAGGCGGAACCGGACGUCCUCGACUUGAACCGGGCUGUGCUCUUGUCCGUGCAGAGCACCCGCACGCUCCGCUUGAACGAGUAGCUGGAAGCCGAGGACAACCACGGUGCGGAGACACACAUCGGCAGCGACGGCUGGUUCGCGCCGGCAGCCAAACCCGACGAGGUCAUCUCUUUCCGCGAGCAGUGAUAGUUUUUCUUUAUGUUGUUGUUUUUAUGGAUCUUUUGCUGUGUAAAAUCAUAUAUUUGUUAUGCAAGUCGCUUGGCUUGGGCCAGUCUACCAUUUCAGGCGGUUGGAUGAAUAUCCUACGUCUCCUAACCCUUCUUUCCUUCUUUAUAUGUAAAUGGGGUAGAAAAAUGCCUAGUUUAACAUGGUGGCUUUACUUUGCAUGUUUAUUAACUCUAAAAUUGUGUUUAGGGCAGAUCAAUACCAAAGCUUAAAAUAUGCACAUGAGGAGUUUCCGGACUUGUUGUUUGUUCUUCCGACCUCAUUUAAACUUGCCUAGGUAGGUAGUUUUGUUUUGCUUCACCUCUUGCCAUGCUAACAACAUUUAAUAUUGUUGGGUACAUAAACGAGAUCAAACUAAAUAACUUGAAUGUGGUGUUUCAUCAAUAUGCAACGGAGUUGCAUAUUGAGCUCCACUUAAUUUGUAGGGUUGUUUGCGCACUUUUCCAUGCCAUGCUUCUUUAAACCGGACAUGCAUCAUACUUGGUUGUGCAUCUUGCCAUGCUUAUGUGGUGGUUGUUUACUAUGUUGUUUGCUUUCUUUCCGGUGUUGCUUCUUUGGGUUGGUUCCGAUAACGUCGCGUUUGUGAGGAUUCGUUCGUCUACGUCCAUUUGUCUUCUUCAUGGACUCAUUCUUCUUCCUUGCAGGAUUUCAGGAAAGAUGACCAUACCCUCGAAAUCACUUCUAUCUUUGCUUGCUAGUUGCUCGCUCUUUUGCUAUGCCUAUGCUGCGAUACCUACCACUUGCUUAUCAUGCCUCCUAUAUUGUUGAACCAAGCCUCUAACCCACCUUGUCCUAGCAAACCUUUGAUUGGCUAUGUUACCGCUUUGCUCAGCCCCUGUUAUAGCGUUGUUAGUUGCAGGUGAAGAUUGAACAUGUUUACUUGUUGGGAUAUCACAAUAUCUCUUAUUUAAUUAAUGCAUCUAUAUACUUGGUAAAGGGUGGAAGGCUCAGCCUUAUGCCUGGUGUUUUGUUCCACUCUUGCCGCCCUAGUUUCCGUCAUAUCGGUGUUAUGUUCCCGGAUUUUGUGUUCCUUACGCGGUUGGGUUAUAAUGGGAACCCCUUGACAGUUCGCCUUGAAUAAAACUCCUCCAGCAAUGCCCAACGUUGGUUUUACCAUUCGCCACCUAGCCUUUUCUUUCCCUUGGGUUCUGUAGACUCAAGGGUCAUCUUUAUUUAAACCCCCCCGGGCCAGUGCUCCUCUGAGUGUUGGUCCAAACAGAGCCACUUGCAGCGCCACCUCGGGGAAACUCGAGGGCUGGUUUUAGUUGUACGUAGUCCUCAUCUGAGUGUGCCCUGAGAACAAGAUAUGUGCAGCUCCUAUCAGGAUUUGUCGGCAUAUUCGGGCGUUGUUGCUGGUCUUGUUUUACCAUUGUCAAAAUGUCUUGUAACCGGGAUUCCGAGUCUGAUCGGGUCUUCCCGCUAGAAGGAAUAUCCUUCGUUGACCGUGAGAGCCUGUGAUGGGCUAAGUUGGGACACCCCUGCAGUGUUGCUGGUCUUGUUUUACCAUUGUCGAAAUGUCUUGUAACCGGGAUUCCGAGUCUGAUCGGGUCUUCCCACUAGAAGGAAUAUCCUUCGUUGACCAUGAGAGCUUGUGAUGGGCUAAGUUGGGACACCCCUGCAGGGAUUUGAACUUUCGAAAGCCAUGCCCGCGGUUAUGGGCAGAUGGGAAUUUGUUAAUGUUCGGUUGUAGAAAACCUGAAGUUGACCUUAAUUAAAAUACAUCAACCGCGUGUGUAACCGUGAUGGUCUCUUUCUGGCAGAGUCUAGGAAGUGAACACGGUGUUGGAGUUAUGCUUGACGUAGGUUGUUCUAGGAUCACUUCUUGAUCAUAGUUGUUCGAUCGUGCUUUUGCCUUCUCUUCUCGCUCUCAUUUGCGUAUAUGUUAGCCACCAAAUAUGCUAGUUGCUUGCUGCAGCUCCACCUCAUACCUUUUACCUUACCCAUAAGCUUAAAUAGUCUUGAUCGCGAGGGUGUGAGAUUGCUGAGUCCCCGUGACUCACAGAUACUUCCAAAACCAGCUUGCAGGUGCCGAUGAUACCUUGCAGAUGACAGAACCGAGCUCAAGGAGGAGCUCGAUGGAGAUUCGUGUUCGUUAUGUUGUUCCGUUUCCAGCUGAUCAGUAGCGGAGCCCAGUUGGGGUCGAUCGGGGAUCUGUGUAGCAUUUGGGUAGUCUUCUUUUAUUUUGGGUUCCGUAGUCGGACCUUGAUUGUAUCUGGUUGAUGUAAUGCUUUAUUCAUAUAAUUGUGUGAAGUGGCGAUUGUAAGCCAACUAUGUAUCUUUUUCCCUUAUGUAUUACAUGGGUUGUGUGAAGAUUACCUCACUUGCGACAUUGCUUUCAAUGCGGUUAUGCCUCUAAGUCGUGCUUCGACCCUUAGGAGAUAUAGCCGCAUCGAGGGUGUUACAAGUUGGUAAUCAGAGCCUUCCCCGACCUAAGGAGCCCCCUGCUUGAUCGAAUCGCUGGCGUUAUUGAGUCUAGAAAAAUGUUUUGAGUCAUUUAGGAUUAUAUAUAUCGGAGAGUUAGGUAUUCUUUUUACUCCUCAGUCCCUUCGUCGCUCUGGUGAGGCAUCCUGACGUAGAGUUUUGACUCUUCUCUUCUUAAAUUUCACUAAAUUUUUUUAGGAUCACGCGGGUAUAUUGGAAUCGUUCCGAUGGUUUUGUGACGAGAACAUUGUUCUUGGUGCCUCCUACCAUUUAGGGGUUGUGGCAGUGUUCCGGGGAGUUGAGCUCCGAGGUGUUGUCGUCACAAUCUUAUCGUUGCAGUUUUGGAAUACCUGAGUUUAGUUUCGCUAACAUCGAAAAUAUCUUUUAUGCAGUUGUUGGUGAGAUAACCUCGACGCCACCCAGUACUGGGGUGGGAGUUCGGGAGUAUUGCCAUAACUCGUAUAACGGAUGCUUUUCGAAGGUUGAGGUAAAUGAUUUCCGAAGGUUUCUUGGUUAUGUGUUGAAGGAUGGAUACAGCUGGAUGUAGGAUUUGUUAGUUUUGGGUGAGAUAUUAUGCUUCCCCUGUAUCCCCAACACCUGAUUGCAUAACUGGGAAAAUUUCGGGAGUUUAUAAGUGGGAAUUCAAGUAGCUCUUAGGAUAUCUUUCCGACAUAUGUAUGAUAUGAAAUUGGGGUUCGACGUCUAGUGGUCCGCCUAUCCACGGUUGGUUUUACAGUGGUCUCGUUGUGUCUUAAAGAGUCCUUGGCUAUGCCGACUCGGGGACGCUUCGUAUGUCAUGUGCACUGCCUUGUACAUGAUGGUGCUGUACGAUCGAGCCCGUGUAGGCCCCACCACAAAAACUUCGGACGAAAUCUCUAUCAUAUGUUUGUUCCGGCUUAUUUUGCAAGCCAAUCCUUUGUUUUGUUUUCAGUUGUGGUAUUCGAGUUGCUUUGAAGUCAAAUGUUGAUUCCAUACCUGUACCUAAGCGGUGUUCUCAUACUCCGAUGUAAAUGUUAAUUUCAACUCAGUUUUGAGAGGUUUUCCAUAAGCCCACAACAAGCUCACUCUUUUUGUUGUUGGGUUUUCCAACAACUCCGUUCGACCAUUCUCCUAAGGAUGCCUUUUGAAGCUCUUUUGUGGCAUAAGAUGGCAUUUUUGUCUCCAUUCUUUUAUUUCAAUUAUCUAUCUUUUAUUCUUUUGUUAUGGAGCCUUUGUGAUGUUUCUCUUUUCUCUUAUCAUCUUGGAUCGUGUUCUUUUCGUGUUUAUCCAUUUAACCGUAGUGUUGUGUCCUUUUGCUCAAGCUCUUUAAUUUUAUCAACUAUUUUAUCUGUCUUCAAUCGGAGUGCUGCACGAAGUUGUUCGUCCUUGUCCCUCUUUUCUAACGGAGUGCUUUCAACUUCAUUCUUUUCCGUUGUAUUCUUUCUUUCACGAAUUUGUUCAACCUCUCAAGGUGCGUGGUUUCAUUCGUUUGUCCAAGAAGCUACUUAGUUUUACCGCUGCUCUUCCUCUUCCUUUUCCCUCCGGUGUCAUCCUAGAUCUCGGGACGAGAUCCUCUCGCAGUGGUGGAGUUUUGUGACACCCCGAGACCGUUGCGCCAGGUGUCGUCCAGUUAUUCGCUAUUGUUGCCUUGUCAUUUGUUUGCGUGUUGCAUCUUAUCAUGUCAUCAUGUGCACUGGAUCAUUAUGUUUUAAAACUUGCAUUCGUCCGGGUUCUUCGAGUUCUCUCCGUUGUCCGUUCUGAGCCCAACCACACUUGCACGCGCCCGCGACAUGUCCGAGAUAUUAUUUUAUAAGUGGCCGAAAAAUGUUCUUUGAAUGGGUUGAAAGUUGGCAUGCGGUGUUGUUAUGUUGUAGGUAGGCCGCCUGCCAAGUUUCAUCGCAUUCGGAGUUUGUUUGAUGCCCCAACGGAUAACUCUAGCGACUUUAUAGUCGGUCUAACGUCGGACGUUUUCGGUCUCCGGAAACAGAUGCCGGGCCCUCUCUCUCUUAUCCCCCUCGCAGUCUCGCCACAACCCACCUAGUACAUCCUCCUUCCCCUCUUCGCUUCUGGAGUUGUCCGAUGCGACCGCACGGUCCGAAACCCUCUCUGCUCAGUGCAUCAAACCCCCUCGCGCGCGCGUCCGGAAAGUUGUCCCGGACCCGACCCGGACUGUCGCCACCGUUGUGUCCGGAUCAUCCCCAAACAUCUACAAAACGUCAUCAUUUUCUUAUUUGGGCUCCCUAGCAUAUUUUUCCCGACCGUCCAGUUACGAUCGGAGGGACGGAUUAGCCCUACCCAAAAAUACUUUUGCUAUAUAUAUGUCAGACCAAACCCUAAAACUUGGUCAUUUGCCCCCCUCAGCCGCCGCCACACUCCACCAAAUCCCCAUCGGGAUCUUCCCCAAUCCAGUUCCUCCUUGUUUUCCUCUCCUGCCAGAUCCAACCAGCGGCCCUGACCAACUCCCUUGAUUUCCGCCGUCUCCCAACCACAGCAAAGCUGCGCCUCCUUCCCUGCCCUCCUAUCUCUUCGUCGUCUCUUUCGGUCUCUCUCGCUCUCUCUCAAAUUCUCUCUCUCUCUUGCCAGGUACAGGAGAAACAGGAGGUCGCCCCUACUGCCAUGGCCAUCGUUUCCGUCGCCGUCUCAGGACCCGCCAUGGAGGACCCCGUCGCCCGCCAAGUACCUCGCCGGAGUACCCAACCAGGCCAUGACCUCGACGCCCUCCUCCCUCUAUUGUCUCUCCUAGCCACUCAAACCCCCUCCCAUUUCUCUCUGUCAGGGGACCGAAGACAUGGCCGCGCCUCUCUUUGAACUCAACUGCCAUGGCCGUCCUGACCACCUGCUGCCUUGAGCGCCCCCGCAGGACCUCGCCGGACCACCAAGCGGCAACCUCCUGAGGUUCCCCGUGCCCCAUGCCUUUCCUUUCUUCUCCUUCCUCCUGCUGUUAUUCCUCACCGUCUCUCUCUCUGAACCCUCUCUCAUUUAUUCAGUAGCAGCUCAUGUGGUAGCUACAGUUCGCUCGAUCCCCCUGCCUCGAGCGUGUUGACCGUGCCCCUCCUCAUCGCCAUGGAUCCGCACCAAUCUCCGCCUCCCCGCACUCCGUUCCGCCCGUUCUGGCCGGUUCUCACCGACCCCAUCACCAAGAGCCCUGCCGCCGUCUUCUACAUCGCCUGAUGUUGCUUCUAUUCUUCAGAACAAGGACGAAGACGCGCCUCGCAUGCACCCUUGACCGCGCCACCCCAUCUCCUCGUUCGAUCCAGCCUGCCAGCGCGCCUCUAGUUCAGGCCAAGGCCCAACACCUCUUCGCCCCAGCCAUAAACAUGCCUCAAGGCCCAAUGUGAGCAGCACCCUGGCCUUCCCCCUGUUGGGCUGCCCAGAUUCGGCCUGUUUCUUUUUUUCCCUGCUGACGAAUUUCCUAAUUUCCAAUGCAUGCAUAAUUACAGGAGGAUGCCAUUAUUUUAAUUUGCUCACAAGUUAAUAACCGUGCAUCGGAUUAAAACAAACUUAAUAUGAAACUUGCUUAGAUUUUCAUCUAGUUUAAUAAUAUGCAACUUUCAUCUAUGUUUAAAAUGUUUAAAACGUUGUUUGUUUAAAUUUGCUCCUAUGCCAUGCUAAAAUGAUUUAUUUCAUAACUAAAUAACUGUAACUCGGAAUUUAAUAAACUUUAUAUGUAAAUGGGGUAGAAAAAUGCCUAGUUUAACAUGGUGGCUUUACUUGCAUGUUUAAUAACUCUAAAAUUGUGUUUAGGGAAGAUCAGUACCAAACCUUAAAAUAUGCACAUGAGGAGUUUCCGGACUUGUUGUUUGUUGUUCCGGCCUCAUUUAAACUUGCCUAGAUAGGUAGUUUUGUUUUGCUUCACCUCUUGCCAUGCUAACAACAUUUAAUAUUGUUGGGUACAUAAACAAGAUCGAACUAAAUAACUUGAAUGUGGUGUUUCGUCAAUAUGCAACGGAGUUGCAUAUUGAGCUCCACAUAAUUUGUAGGGUUGUUUGCGCACUUUGCCAUGCCAUGCUUCUUUAAACCGGACUGGCAUCAUACUCGGUUGUGCAUCUUGCCAUGCUCAUGUGGUGGUUGUUUACUAUGUUGUUUGCUUUCUUUCCGGUGUUGCUUCUUCGGGUUGGUUCCGAUAACGUCGCGUUUGUGAGGAUUCGUUCGUCUACGUCCGUUUGUCUUCUUCAUGGACUCGUUCUUCUUCCUUGUGGGAUUUCAGGCAAGAUGACCAUACCCUCGAAAUCACUUCUAUCUUCGCUUGCUAGUUGCUCGCCCUUUUGCUAUGCCUAUGCUGCGAUACCUACCACUUGCUUAUCAUGCCUCCUAUAUUGUUGAACCAAGCCUCUAACCCACCUUGUCCUAGCAAACCUUUGAUUGGAUAUGUUACGGCUUUGCUCAGCCCCUCUUAUAGCGUUGUUAGUUGCAGGUGAAGAUUGAAGUUUGUUCCUUGUUGGAACCUGGAGAUGUUGUUCCUUGUUGGAACAUGUUUACUUGUUGGGAUAUCACAAUAUCUCUUAUUUAAUUAAUGCAUCUAUAUACUUGGUAAAGGGUGGAAGGCUCGGCCUUAUGCCUGGUGUUUUGUUCCACUCUUGCCGCCCUAGUUUCCGUCAUAUCGGUGUUAUGUUCCCGGAUUUUGUGUUCCUUACGCGGUUGGGUUAUAAUGGGAACCCCUUGACAGUUCGCCUUGAAUAAAACUCCUCCAGCAAUGCCCAACAUUGGUUUUACCAUUUGCCACCUAGCCUUUUCUUUCCCUUGGGUUCUGUAGACUCAAGGGUCAUCUUUAUUUAAACCCCCCCGGGCCAGUGCUCCUCUGAGUGUUGGUCCAAACAGAGCCACUUGCAGCGCCACCUCGGGGAAACUCGAGGGCUGGUUUUAGUUGUACGUAGUGCUCAUCUGAGUGUGCCCUGAGAAUGAGAUAUGUGCAGCUCCUAUCAGGAUUUGUCCGCAUAUUCGGGCGGUGUUGCUGGUCUUGUUUUACCAUUGUCAAAAUGUCUUGUAACCGGGAUUCCGAGUCUGAUCAGGUCUUCCCGCUAGAAGGAAUAUCCUUCGUUGACCGUGAGAUCUUGUGAUGGGCUAAGUUGGGACACCCCUGCAGGGAUUUGAACUUUCAAAAGUCAUGCCCGCGGUUAUGGGCAGAUGGGAAUUUGUUAAUGUCCGGUUGUAGAAAACCUGAAGUUGACCUUAAUUAAAAUACAUCAAUCGCGUGUGUAACCGUGUUGGUCUCUUUCCGGCGGAGUCCGGGAAGUGAACACGGUGUUGGAGUUAUGCUUGACGUAGGUUGUUCUAGGAUCACUUCUUGAUCAUAGUUGUUCGACCGUGCUUUUGCCUUCUCUUCUCGCUCUCAUUUGCGUAUAUGUUAGCCACCAAAUAUGCUAGUCGCUUGCUGCAGCUCCACCGCAUACCUUUUACCUUACCCAUAAGCUUAAAUAGUCUUGAUCGCGAGGGUGUGAAAUUGCUGAGUCCCCGUGACUCAUAGAUACUUCCAAAACCAGCUUGCAAGUGCCGAUGAUACCGUGCAGAUGACAGAACCGAGCUCAAGGAUGAGCUCGAUGGAGAUCGUGUUCAUUAUGUUGUUCCGUUUCUAGUUGAUCAGUACCAGAGCCCAGUUGGGGUCGAUCGGGGAUCUGUGUAGCAUUUGGGGUAGUCUUCUUUUAUUUUGGGUUCCGUAGUCAGACCUUGAUUGUAUCUGGUUGAUGUAAUGCUUUAUUCAUAUAAUUGUGUGAAGUGGUGAUUGUAGGCCAACUAUGUAUCUUUUUCCCUGAUGUAUUACAUGGGUUGUGUGAAGAUUACCUCACUUGUGACAUUGCUUUCAAUGCGGUUAUGCCUCUAAGUCGUGCUUUGACCCGUAGGAGAUAUAGUCGCAUCGAGGGCGUUACAAGAGAUCACUUGAACGGAGCACCGGUAAGAUUUGGAGAACCAUAGCUGAAAGCUGAGAAUGAAUAAAUUCAGAGAUGAUGGGUUCCGGAGAAACAAACUAAAAAGUAUCUUGAAUUGCUCCGGAUAGGUGAAAAAAAUCAGACAAUCCAAAAACAACUAUGAGAGGAUGGCAACAAGCUAGAAUCACGAAUCUUGAAGAGAAUGGAGCAAGAUUUAAGAGAAACUCUUCUUCGGUCUUCAAAAUCUGAGAAUGACGACGAGAAACACCACCAUGAAUCGUUGAGACACUCCGGAAUGAUUAAAAGAGGAGAGGUUGAGCCAAAGAUGAAAAGAAUUUGAAAGAUCUUGGAGAAAAACAUAUGACAGAUGAUGAAUCAUUCUUACGUCAAACUUUAAAAGAAUUUGAGGAUAGCUCCGAGAAAAUAAGAAGAGUCAGGUAAGAUCCUGGGAAAAGACCUGUGGGUUAGGGCCCACUCAAAAGAUACACCGUUGAACGAUUACUUGAAAAGAAAGAUUGCACCGGUUGAAUUAAAAGGCUUAAAUGAUAUAACAUCCUCAAAAGAGUUUAAACGAAAGCAGAGUGGUAACAUGAAUCUUCGAAAUAUCUUGAGCACUCCGGAACAAUUGAAUAGCGAGAAGUGAAUGAUUAAGAAUUGCGCCGGCAUGAGAAAGCAUUGAAACAAGGAAAGGAUAUGAUCAACAAAGCUUGACUUGAAACCACCGGAGAAGAAAAGAAUGAAGAAUGACAAACGAGUAGAACAUCUUCAUGAGAAACACCGGGUAAAAACAUGAAGGAAAAAGAAUGGAGAGACUUCCAUCAAUAAAAUGGAUAGUGAUUAAGAAAUCUGAAUCCUUGAAGAAAAAGGGUGGGUCGGUGGGAAAACAAAGACAACUUGGAACGGAUGAAGCAAACACCGUUGAGAAAGCUGAGAUUGAAUCUUGCGGAUGUUGAAAAUGGACGGAUCCGCUUGAAGAGAAGCACACUGGUUGAAAAGGAUUGGCAAGACAAUCUCGAUGAUCAAGAAGGAUUACUAUUCACAUAGGAAUAUGAGAACACCACUUAGACAAGGGAUGGAAUCAACAUUUGCCUUCGAAGCAACUCGAAUACCACAACUCAAAACAAAACAAAGGAUUGGCUUGUAGAAUAAGCCAGAACAAACAUAUGAUAGAGAUUUCGUCCGAAGUUUUCGUGGUGGGGCCUACACGGGCUUGAUCAUACAUCACCAUCAUGUACAAGGCAGUGCACAUGACAUACGAACCAUCCCCGAGUCGGCAUAGCCAAGGACUCUUUAAGACACAAGGAGACCACUGUAAAACCAACCGUGGAUAGGCGGACCACUAGACGUCGAACCCCAAUUUCAUAUCAUACAUCUGUCGAAAAGAUAUCCUAAGAGCUACUUGAAUUCCCACUUAUAAACUCCCGAAAUUUUCCGGUUAUGCAAUCAGGUGUUGGGGAUACAGGGGAAGCAAAAUAUCUCACCCAAAACUAGCAAAUCCUACAUCCAGCUGUAUCCAUCCUUCAACACAUAACCAAGAAACCUUCGGAAAUCGUCUACCUCAACCUUUGAAAAGCAUCCGUUAUACGAGUUAUGGCAAUAAUCCCGAACUCCCGCCCCAGUACUGGGUGGCGUCGUGGUUAUCUCACCAACAACUGCAUAAAAGAGUUUUUCGAUGUUGGCGAACCUAAACUCAGGUAUUCCAGAACUGCAACGAUAAAAUUGUGACGAUAAUACCUCGGAGCUCAACUCCCCAGGACACUGCCACAACCCCUAAAUGACAGGAGGCACCAAGAACAAUGUUCUCGUCACAAAUCGAUCGGAAUGAUUCCAAGAUACCCGCGUGAUCCUAAUUUUUUUAGUGAAAUUUUAGAAGAGAAGGGUCAAAACUCUACGUCAGGAUGCCUUACCAGAGCGAUGAAGGGACUGAGGAGUAAAAAGAAUUCCUAACUCUCUGAUAUAUAAUUCCUAAAUGACUCAAAACAUUUUUCUAGACUCAACAACGUCAACAGUUCAAUCAAGCAGGGGGCUCCUAAGUCGGGGAAGGCUCUGAUACCAACUUGUAACGCCCUCGAUGCGGCUAUAUCUCCCAUGUGUCGAAGCAUGACUUAGAGGCAUAACCGCAUUGAAAGCAAUGUUGCAAGUUAGGUAAUCUUCACACAACCCAUGUAAUACAUAAGGGAAAAGGAUACAUAGUUGGCUUACAAUCGCCACUUCACACAAUACAUGAAUAGAGCAUUACAUCAUCCAAAUGCAUUCAAGGUCCGACUACGGAACCAAAAUAAAAGAAGAACCCAAAUGCGACAAGGUCCCCGAUCAACCCCAACUGGGCUCCACUACUGAUCAACUAGAACGAAACAACACAAAGGACAAGAUCUUCAUCGAGCUCCUCCUGAGCUUGGUUGCGUCAUCUGCACGGACUCAUCGGCACCUACAAGCUGGUUUUGGAAGUACCUAUGAGUCACGGGGACUUAGCAAUCUCACACCCUCGCGAUCAAGACUAUUUAAGCUUAUGGGUAAGGUAAAGGUAUGAUGUGGAGCUGCAACAAGCGACUAGCAUAUAUGGUGGCUAACAUACGCAAAAGAGAGCGAGAAGAGAAGGCAAAGAACGGUCGAGAAACUAUGAUCAAGAAGUGAUCCUAGAACAACCUACGUCAAACAUUACUCCAACACCGUGUUCACUUCCCGGACUCCACCGGAAAGAGACCAUCACGGUUACACACGCGGUUGAUGUAUUUUAAUUAUGGUCAACUUUAGGUUUUCUACAACCGGACGUUAACAAAUUCCCAUCUGCCCAUAACCGCGGGCACGGCUUUAGAAAGUUCAAAUCGCUGCAGGGGUGUCCCAACUUAGCCCAUCACAAGCUCUCACGGUCAACGAAGGAUAUUCCUUCUAGCGGGAAGACCCGAUCAGACCCAGAAUCCCGGUUACAAGACAUUUCGACCAUGGUAAAACAAGUCCAGCAACACCGCCCGAAUGUGCCGACAAAUCCUGAUAGGAGCUGCACAUAUCUCGAUCUCAGGGCACACUUAGAUGAGCACUACGUACAACUAAAACCAGCCCUCGAGUUUCCCCGAGGUGGCGCUGCAAGUGGCUCUAUUUGGAUCAACACUCAGAGGAGCACNNNNNNNNNNNNNNNNNNNNNNNNNNNNNNNNNNNNNNNNNNNNNNNNNNNNNNNNNNNNNNNNNNNNNNNNNNNNNNNNNNNNNNNNNNNNNNNNNNNNNNNNNNNNNNNNNNNNNNNNNNNNNNNNNNNNNNNNNNNNNNNNNNNNNNNNNNNNNNNNNNNNNNNNNNNNNNNNNNNNNNNNNNNNNNNNNNNNNNNNNNNNNNNNNNNNNNNNNNNNNNNNNNNNNNNNNNNNNNNNNNNNNNNNNNNNNNNNNNNNNNNNNNNNNNNNNNNNNNNNNNNNNNNNNNNNNNNNNNNNNNNNNNNNNNNNNUAAAUAAAUAUGACCCUUGAGUCUGCAGAACCCAAGGGAAAGAAAAGGCUAGGUGGCGAAUGGUAAAACCAAUGUUGGGCAUUGCUGGAGGAGUUUUAUUCAAGGCGAACUGUCAAGGGGUUCCCAUUAUAACCCAACCGCGUAAGGAAUGCAAAAUCCGGGAACAUAACACCGAUAUGACAGAAACUAGGGCGGCAAGAGUGGAACAAAACACUAGGCAUAAGGCCGAGCCUUCCACCCUUUACCAAGUAUAUAGAUGCAUUAAUUAAAUAAGAGAAAUUGUGAUAUCCCAACAAGUAAACAUGUUCCAACAAGGAACAACAUCUCCAUGUUCCAACAAGGAACAAACUUCAUCUUCACCUGCAACUAAUAAUGCUAUAAGAGGGGCUAAGCAAAGCGGUAACAUAGCCAAACAACGGUUUUCUAGGACAAGGUGGGUUAGAGGCUUGGUUCAACAAUAUGGGAGGCAUGAUAAGCAAGUGGUAGGUAUCGCAGCAUAGGCAUAGCAAAAGAGCGAGCAACUAGCAAGCAAAGAUAGAAGUGAUUUCGAGGGUAUGGUCAUCUUGCCUGAAAUCCCGCAAGGAAGAAGAACGAGUCCAUGAAAAAGACAAAUGACGUAGUCGAACGGAUCCUCACAAUGCAACGUUAUCGGAACCAACCCGAAGAAGCAACACCGUAAAAGAGCAAACAACAUAGUAAACAACCACCACAUAGACAUGGCAUGACGCACAAACAAGUAUGAUGCAUGUCCGGUUUAAAGAGGGCAUGGCUGUGCAAAAUGCACAAGCAAUCCUACAAAUUAAGUGGAGCUUAAUAUGCAAUUCCAUUGCAUAUUGACGAAACACCACGUGACUUAUUUAGGUCGAUCUCGUUUAUGUACCCAACAAGAUUGAAUGUUGAUUAACAUGGCAAGAGGUGAAGCUAAGUAAAACUACCUAUCUAGUCAAGUUUAAAUGAGGCCGGAAGCAACGAACAACAAUUCCGGAAAAACCCCAUAUGCAUAUAUUAGGUUUGUUACGGUUCUGCCCUAAACACAAUUUUAGAGUUGUUAAACAUGCAAAUUGAGGCCACAAAGUUAAACUAGGCAUUUUUCCACCCCAUUUACAUAUAAAGUUUGUUAGGUUUGGAGCUACGGUUAUUUAGUUAUGAAAUAAAUCAUUUUAGCAAGUUAAUUAAGCAAGUUUAAACAAACAACAUCUUAAGCAUUUUAAACAUAGAUGAAAGUUGGAUAUUAUUAAACUAGAUGAAAUUAUAAGCAAGUUUCAUAUAUAAAGUUUUUCCAUGUGAUGCAUAGUUUGUGAGUUAUUAAAUGUAUGAACAUGAGGGUCUUUUCUACAAAAGUGCUCUCUCUGGGAUAAAGGCAAAAUCGCAGACCUGAAAAAAAAUAGGAACUGGGCCGAAUCUGGCCGGCCCAACAAGAGAAAAAAAACAAGAGGAGGGGGCACUUGGGGGCUGCUCACCCUGGGCCUGGCCCAACUGGAGGAGGAGGCCGGGCAGCUGGGCCUCGCGCAACGGUCAACAAGAGAAGGAGGACUCGGCGCUUGUCGUCGUCCUCGCAUGCUCGCAUCUAGAAACAGGGGAAGCAGCGACCGAUGCGGAGGAGGCAGCAGCAGGACAAACUCCGGCGGCGCUCGGAACCAGCAGGAGACGGAGAAGGCAAGGGCAAUCCGACCGGAUCCAAGGCGGAGCGACUGGAUCAGGCAAGGGUGGACAUGGAGCUCCAGGCGUUGGCGUUCUUUGCGGCUUGGUGCAGUUCGUUGCAGAGGAGCGGCGGUGCUGAUAGCCUACUCCGGCGAGAGGACGGCGAGGGAGCCUGGCGGGCGUUGGAAAGCUGCAGAAGUGCCGACCUUGGAGCAGAUCGGGCGCAGGGAUCGAGGACCCGUGAGGGGGAGAGGGGCGGCCAACGUUCCUGGGGCUUGGCUGGCUCGUUGAAGACGAGCAGCAGCGGGUCAACGCAGGCGGCGGCUCACUGCAACGUAGAGACGAGUCGGGGACGGACUCGGUGCGACGGAGCUCGGGGCCGUGGCGAGCGGAGCACCUGCGAAGGGGAAGAGAGAGGUCAGGGACGGGCGAGAGGAGAUGAAGCA